rnacentral:lncRNA from 1 species
UAGCUCAUUUCAAGAGCAAGUUUGAUCAACAGCUGAAUAAAUACCUCCUAAUUAUGUGAAUUGUUUUGAGGUAAAAACUGGAUCCUACUCACCUCAGUGAAUAAUUUUGACGUAAACAAUAGCUGAAUAUUAAAAGCGACGGUGAUAUAGAAAUAAUUCACUUAUCAGCAAAAAAAAUAAAAAAUAAAGAUGUAUACAAAUCUGGUAAAAGUUUUGAUUUCCCAAAAUGUCUACGCUGAUUCAGGCAUGGCUGCUUUGGUCUCAUUACUUCAGGCUUCAUAUGUACAUGCAAAAACUACGAUAUGGCCAUACAAUUUGAUGCCUUUGAUUCACAUAUUUGCUAGAAACAUGAACUUACCAUACGCAGAACACAUGCACAAAACAUGAAGACCUGAACUGAUGCCGUUGAGGAAGGGCUGCGGUGUGUGAGUCCUCGGUGCAUGGAGGAAAAGCAGUGGCAGCUUGUGUGCCCGGGCUGCAGAAUGGAAUGAGGUGUCUCAUAUGGACAACAAUUGCUGACACGACAUCAAGUAUUCCCACCGAAUUUCCUCAACAAAAUGUACUGCAUGCUAGUCCUAGAUGGUCAUUCACAUAAACAAAGCCAAGAUAGUUCUACCCAGCAGCAAAUUACAUCGGCAAACGGUUGCGGGAGCAAGCUUAUCAAAAUGUGACAAUGACCUUGGCCCUGGUAGACGCCCUCGGCAGAGCUAAUAGCUUGGCAAGAGACAUGCUACAGUCCUUUUCACCCUUCCAGUCUAUCUUCAGUUCUUCUAAACCUGGUGCCCAGCUUAGUAGCUUUGCCACAAAAUCAACUUCGUAGUCCAGGCCCCCAAAAUGGUUCACACUGGCCAUUACGAGAUGGUCCAUUUUCAAUUGCAGGUUAAGUGCUUGGAUGCCGACCUGAUCCUCAUCCUGACCAAGGAUGCUCCAAGGAAAACUCUGCAUUUUUUUCACAACUCGUCAGCCAUAAACACAAAGAACGAACAUGGAUCAGGUGAUCGAGCAAGGAGGGAGAGUUUACUUGAGGCAUACUUACCCAUAUAUCAAGCUUCUUUAAGUUAGGGGCGUUCUGAAACAGCGAACAUGCAGUCAAGACUUGCCUCUGGUCCCACAAGCAUAUCAUAAGACAAACACUCUUCAGGUGAGUAAACACGGCAGGGAGCUUCGUAUGUAUGCAUCCUUUUGAUAGAUACUGCAACAAUAAAAUAAAAAUAAAAAUAUAUGUCAACACAGAUUAGUCAGAGGCAGAAGAAGGCCAUAGUAAUGCUGGAGACAAUAAUAGCUCACCUUCAGGAAAAAACCACUGAUUGUAAGUGUUUCAAUGACACUUAGGCUUCCCAAUGACUGCUUGACAUAGCUUUCCUUGUGAUGCGCAAUUGGAACAGAUUGAUAUGCUUUACCUUUGUUAUCAAGAGAGAGAAAGGCCACCUCCAGAUUAGGUGCGUCCAACUUAAUGUCCUCAAAAUCCCCUUCAACAUAAAGAUAAUCCAGUUCAGGAGCCUUAAUGUUUAGACGGUUGAUGCCCUCAAAAGAAUCUAAUAUCAAAUCAGUCAGUGCGGGGCAGAACAAGAUCAGAUUUUGGAUAUCCUUGUCUGUGGAGGAGAAGAUUUUCAGGGUGAGGUCAGUUAGGCUCUUGAAACCUUGGAAUGCCCGAGGCAAGCUGAUGAUGCAGUUUUCUAGGUGCAGAUACUCCAGAUCACCAAUAGAAAAGAGGCACGAGGGAAUCUUAUACCUUGGCCCCGAGUUCAACUUGAUUAUAACUGAUUUUGGUGAUUUCCUUGACAGCAUGAUCAUCCACCUACCGAACUCAUCAUGGUAAUUUUUGCUACCUGAAAUAUCAAACUCCUCUAUUGUUCCCUUGUGGAGUAAUAGCACCAUAUCGACUAACGUAACGAACUUGGUUCUUGUAAGAUUUCCAUCACACAGAGAUAUUACUGGCAUAUCAGUCCAUGCAUCCCUCCAAGUACUUGAUAAGGUGCUAGUCCUAACCGCUUCUUCGGCAUUCAAACGGGAGAGGAUGUCACCCUUUAUCUCUGGAGGUAGACUGCUAAGUCUGUCUGUACUCACAACUGAUGUAGCUUCCGCCCUGGCCUUUUUACAGGUACUCAUUGCUUCAGAAUCCAGAUUAAACUGUCUUAGCAUUUGCAGAAGCCAAUGAGCCAACAUUAGCGCGCAGUCUACCACAUAUCACUAAAAAAGUAAAAAUACAAUACAUGCAGAAAUUAAACGGUGCACUAAGUAAGUUGCUUGUUCAUAGCAAAAUGAAAAAUAAGCAACAACCGAGAGAUGGCAGUUAGGGAAACAAGUCUGGUAUGUUUAUAUUAACAGAACUGAACUCGACUAUAGCGUUGGUAAGGUGAAAAACUUGAUUAUCAUUUGACAUGUGUUACAAGACCCUAAUUUGUGAUCUUGAAGAGAAACCAUGUCCCAUGCUGCAAGUUGGAAAGGGGCUUCUUUUGUUGAAUAUACAUACAUGUGCCAUCAUUUGAAGAAGAGGUGAUUAAAAGAUGACGAAAAAAGAAACUUGUCCUGCAAAAUAUCGGUUGGACAAACAAUUUAAGGUAUAUAAUUGAGAGGCUGUCAACGUGGGUAAACGAUCAAAUGCAACUGUACUUGAGCACCAACAGCACAGAGAGUCAACUUAACCCACAAACAGGCCCUCCUUUCUUAAUCUAGAUGUGGACUUGCACUCAAACUAUUCAGGAGCAACACGUGUUCCGUUCCAACAUUCACUAUAAGCAUGAUCGACAUGUACUAACGUAAAUCCGUGUACUAAGUACUCCCUCCGUCCCGAAAUGCUUGUCGGAGGAAUGGAUGUAUCUAGAUGUAUUUUAGUUCUAGAUGCAUUCAUUUUUAUGCAUUUCUCCAACAAGUAUUUCCGGAAGGAGGGAGUACUAGGGUAGGUUCCAACUAAACUUUCUUAGCACUGCGGAGCUAGAGAAUAAAUAAAUUGAGCACUGUAAAUAACAGAGUACUAAAGUGCAACUGAAUAUAAGCACAACUGAGUCACAAACAAGCAUGCGCAUUGCUGUGAUCUUUCAAUAAUUCAUGAAUCCGCCGCAAGCAGUUCAAGAACUUCAAAUAGAUGGGAGCAGAAAGCAAAACGAACCUACGGAGUGGCUCAGUUGCUGCAGAAGCGCCGGAGAAGGGGGGGAAGGCGACGCCGCUCGCCCGCUGCGGCCUUGGGCACUGCCACCGAGGCGGAGCGCAGAGGCCAGAGGGGCGAGCAAGAAGGCAGUACGCCGGAUGCCUCCGUCGCCGCGCCGCCGGCAGCCGCGGGCGUGCCGUGUCUAGGGUUCGUCGUCUUUGCGCUGUGGCGAUGGGGGGAUUUCAGAAUUGGGCUCGAGGAGAGACUGGGCCGCUGGGCCAUAUCGAUACACAUAAUAAAAUUAUUAAACUACACCUAAAAACAUAAAAUUGGUACCUAAAACAACAUACAUAUUAUCUACUACCCCUAAAACACCUAGGAAAACAUACAUUUCUUUGUUUUCUCAAAAGAUGUACAUAUUUUUUUUGACAAAAAUAAAAUGUGUAUUCAAUUGAGACUGGCUGGUUUGAAGAUUGGCGGCAUGAGUUUCAGUGGGGAGGCACAAAGAGAAGGCAGUGGGUAAACUGCGGGAUAACACUUUCAUCGAGCAAUCAAGGAACAAGACGAUUGGGCUUGAGGGAUGUGGCAAGUGAAAUUUUGUUCAAUACAUUGGGUUUUUGUUUUAGACAUUCCCACCGCCUUCACUCUAUUGUAUGGAAGGAUGUCGCCUAAACCUUCAAACAUUUUGAGCUGCCACCACCGAGGAGACUAUUUCCCCACUUUCGAAAAACAAAGGAGAUAUUUUACCUGAUUUUUUGUGCUAUGAAGUUCUUAUUGCCCAUGGCGCUUGCCGCGAUUGGUGCAAGGAUGGUUAUUAGUGAACCCCGAGUCCAUGGCGUUUGCCGCGAUUGGUGUAUGGAUGGUUAGUGAACCCCAAGUCAUAAGACCGAGUUCCUAAAAAGAAGUCAUAAGAACGAAGACUGGGUCAUGUUCCAGUUUGUGCACAAAGCUUUGUAGCAAGAUAUUUAUCUGUGAAAGAUCAACAAUAAAAUGUAAUAUUCCCGCUUCCGGAAAAAGAAGGUUACCGAGGUCCGUGGGGUCGGGGUAUCUAUGUCUUUCUGGCUUGUUAAGGUUACCGUGGUCCGUGGGGUCGGGGUAUGUAUGUCUUUCUGGCUCGUUUUGUGAUUUGAAGGUGACACUAGGUUUUUCACACUCUUCUCUCACUUCACUAGGUUUUUCAAACUCCAAUGACACGCUUGUUUGCUCCUUCACUUCCCUUAACCUUUCCCUUCAACCUCCUUUCAUCUAUGGAUACCUAUAAGCUAGAAUCAUUGCAUCAUUCUUUGGCUUCGGUUACCCUUAAUUCGCAGUAGCAACGUUUGAGUUUCACGACUUUAUGAUUGAUGUAAGCUAUAAUGAGAAGACCAACACAAUGUAUUUUCUUCUUCUUUUGACCUAUCUUCUCAGUGCAUCAUGAUAAAAUUCAAACAAGGCUAUUUUCAUUUCUCAUACAUCGGGCAUGUGUGAACUUGAUUGGUUCCUGUGGUUAGAGAUAAUAGGCAUUAGUAGUUGACAUAACAUUAUUCCAUAAUGAUCAAUAGCAUUACAGUAGUUGUCGAGUACACGAUAGAUCUAAUUUUACUUAUGUUUUUUGUCUAUGGAAUGAAUCCCAAAACUACCUACCACCUAGAUAGGAGUACAUAGAGUAGAAUGAAACCAAAUCCUAGUGACUAAAUCACGGGGUGGGGUCCUUGUCGACGCCCAUGAGAGCAUGGUUGAGCAACAUGGCUCCCCAGCGGCCCGUUUCCACCAGCCGCCCCACCAACGGGAAGCUCACCGUCUCUCUGUUCUUCAAAGGCUUCUUGUUCCACCUGCAUAUACAUUAUGAAAAUUAAGGGUACUAGAGUGCAACUGAAUAUAAGCACAACUGAGUCACAAACAAGCAUGCGCAUUGCUGUGAUCUUUCAAUAAUUCAUGAAUCCGCCGCAAGCAGUUCAAGAAUUUCAAAUAGAUGGGAGCAGAAAGCAAAACGAACCUACGGAGUGGCUCAGUUGCUGCAGAAGCGUCAGGGAAGGGGGGAAGGCGACGCCGCUCGCCCGCUGCGGCCUUGGGCGCUGCCACCGAGGCGGAGCGCAGAGGCCAGAGGGGCGAGCAAGAAGGCAGUACGCCCGAUGCCUCUGUCGCCGCGCCGCCGGCAGCCGCGGCCGUGUCGUGUCUAGGGUUCGAGUUUAGCGGAGGAAAUGCCGAAAUGGUCUGCGACUCGUCGUCUUUGCGCUGUGGCGAUGAGGGGAUUUCCGAAUUGGGCUCGAGGAGAGACUGGGCCGCUGGGCCAUAUCGGCGUAGGGAGGGAGCGAUACACAUAAAAUUGGUACCUAGACUUGUCUGCUCCUAACGAGCGCUUCAAGCGCCGGCUGGCUCUACCGGCGCUCGCUAGCGACGCCCUGCGGGCUGGCCCACCAACCGAGUCAACAAAGCAAGCGCGAAAAAGAAAACAAUUCCUAAUGAAAAAAAAUGGAUCCGCUGGGAAUCGAACCCACCACAACGCCCUUCGUGGCUUGAUGCAUUAACCACUGGACAAAGCUAGUUCUUCUGUACACUCAUAGAAACAACUAUCGUAGUUAACAUUUUCUUUAGUAAAACCAAUAUAAAUUAUUAUAAGAAAAAGAAAAGAUAAAUUUGAAAACAAGACAAUCAAUUUUUAGAAAAGUUCAUCGAUUUUCUAAAAAGUUCAUUGAUUUAGAAACAACAAUUUUGAAAAAAGUUCAUAAAUUUUGAAAAAAUGAAAAAGAGUUCAUCAAAUUGAAAAAAAGUUCAUCGAUUUUGAAAAAAAGUUCAUUGGUUUUGAAAAAGAGUUCAUCCAUUUGAAAAGAGUUCAUGGAUUUUGAAAAGAGUUCACCGAUUUGGAAAAAAGUUCAUCAUUUGAAAAUGAGUUCAUGGAUUUUGAAAAGAGUUCAUUGAUUUUGAAAAAAAAAGUUCAUUGGUUUUCNNNNNNNNNNNNNNNNNNNNNNNNNNNNNNNNNNNNNNNNNNNNNNNNNNNNNNNNNNNNNNNNNNNNNNNNNNNNNNNNNNNNNNNNNNNNNNNNNNNNNNNNNNNNNNNNNNNNNNNNNNNNNNNNNNNNNNNNNNNNNNNNNNNNNNNNNNNNNNNNNNNNNNNNNNNNNNNNNNNNNNNNNNNNNNNNNNNNNNNNNNNNNNNNNNNNNNNNNNNNNNNNNNNNNNNNCAUUGAUUUUGAAAAAAAAGUUCAUUGGUUUUCAAAAAGGGUUCAUCCGUUUUGAAAAGAGUUCAUCGAUUUUGAAAAGAGUUCACCGAUUUGGGAAAAAAAUUCAUCGGUUUUGAAAAAGAGUUCACCGAUUUGGAAAAAAAGUAUCAUUUGAAAAAGAGUUCAUGGAUUUUGGAAAGAGUUCAUUGAUUUUGAAAAAAAAAGUUCAUUGGUUUUGAAAAAGGGUUCAUCCGUUUUGAAAAGAGUUCAUCGACUUUGAGAAGAGUUCACCGAUUUGGGAAAAAAAGUUCAUCGAUUUUGAAAAAGAGAUCAUGGAUUUUGAAAAGAGUUCAUCGAUUUUGAAAAAGAUUUCAUUGGUUUUGAAAAGAGUUCACUGAUUUGAGAAAAAAGUUCAUCAAUUUUGAAAAAAAAUGUCGAUUUGAAAAAAAGUUCAUUGGUUUUGAAAAAGAGUUCAUCAAUUUUAAAAACAGUUCAUGAAUUUGAAAAGGUUCCAUUGUAUUUUGGUAAAAAAAAAGUUCACACAUUUAACCAAGAAAAAGAAAAAGGAAAAAAAGGUACAAAAUCGUUCCAGCAUAGGAGAAAAGGGAACAGGAAAAAGGAAAAGAAGGAAACAGUAAAAAAGAAAGAAGAAAAGAAGAAAGAAGAUGUAUUAGGACACAUCUGGAGUGGUUGUCCGGUUGGUCACCGCAACUUACUUAGACUGGAGACGUCCUGGGUUCGAUUACCAUCCAUGCACAUCAAUUUUUCUCGGGAUAAACUGAGAAAAAAGAACGUGGAUGGGCCGAGCCCAAGUCACCGCGGGGGGUAUGCGCCCGUUAGCGAAAACCACUAAAACGGGCGCAGCGGGCGCCGUUUAGGAUUUGCCCUCCAUCUCCAAGUUCUCAUCAAGAGGCGCAUACAAGAUCUCAAAGUUCUCAGCAAGCCAAAGAAGCAACGCAACGUGGUGACGACGGGGACUUCAGUGCGCCGGAGACCCAAGGCACCCCCGACGAAUUUCUCAAAAAUUCAUGUGGAUGCUGGAGUCCGGGGACAGCGAGGAGGCUCGGCCAUGGCGAUAUGCCGUGACAGCCAAGGCGUUUUCCUGGGGCAUCUCAGCCCUUGUGGUCGCUGGAGUUUGGGAAGCUCCUACGUUCGAAGCUAUACCGUGUUACGAGGCAAUGGCAUUGGCAGAAGAUCUCAACUAGCAUCACUAUAUAGUGGCCUCCGAUUGCAAACAGGUGAUUGAAAAUAUAGCAUCACGAAGCCAGGAAGAAUAUGGCAUUAUAAUCAGAGAAAUCCGACUAAGAUCACCACCAACCUGUAAAUUUACUUUUGAAAAUUGUGAGGCGAAUGUUGAAGCCCACAAACUAGCUAAAUAUGCUUUGUCUUUACUUACAGGGCGUCAUGUGUGGCUUGGCCAGCCACAUGACCAGACUUGUAUCCCACACUCUAUGGACUUUGAGUAAUAAAAGGCUUCUCCCCUCAAAAAAAACCUAGACUUGUCUCGAAAGGAAAAAGGGUACUCCCUCCGUUUCUUUUUACUCCGCAUAUAAAAUUUGGUCAAAAUCAAACUGCACAAAGUUUGACCAAACUAUAUAGUAUGAACAUAUGUUUCAUGGUGCAUCUAAUAAUAUUGAUUUCAUAUUAUGAAUGUUUAUAUUUUUUAAUAUAAAGUUAGUCAAACUCUACAAAGUUUGACUUUAACCAAACCUUAUAUGCGGACUAAGAAGAAACGAAGGGAGUACCUAGACCAAGAAGACUGAAAAGAACAAUCCGGGGUUUCGUUUAGGGCAGCAGCUGCCGCUGUGGUCGCAAGGGAAUUUUUUGUCCCCUCUUCUCCGGCUGCCAUCUUGCGCUGAGAGGCUGAGAACCUCGCAUCUUUAAGAGUUCUAUGUUCUUCUUCGUCGUCUAAUAAUUAUCGUUUUUGUUAGCAUAAAUUUACUCUCGCUUUUUUAACGGUGCCAUGAGGUUAGAGAGUUUUCUGUCCUCGCAGAUUCGAUUAUUCAGAUAUGAUGAGUUUAUAUUUGACUAGUAUAAAUGCAAAUUUUGUUAUUAAUUUCAAAUGUAUUUUUUAAAAUGGAACAUUUUUGGAAUUUUUGGAAAUUAAAAACCAAGUAUUUGACGUAGAUGAUAGGUUCUUUUUUCCAAAAUAACACAUCACAGGGUCUUGGGUGACUUAAAAAAUCAUUUGAGUGGACCGGCCGACCACGAGUGCUCUGCUCUCGGCCUCCGACGGGAUGGAUGUGCUCGCUCCGGCCGGGUUAAUUUCUUCGUUCUGUUCUUGUCCUCUGCUUGCUGACUUCUGAUGUCGCAAGGCCACCGGUGUAUAUAAAUCGAUUGGUUUGGAUGCAAAGCAGCGAGGUGGGACUAUUAUUUUAGCAACCUUUGUUUUUGCAGGGACUGGGUGGGGACUGGGGAGCGAAAGGAAAACAACGCAGUGGCAGCGGCGCUGAAGAGAGGCCAGCAUGUGGCGGCCGUGCCGUACACCAUGCGUCCAUGUGUUUAGCCACUGGGCAAGGGGCGCCGACGCGGGUGCUGGGGCUCCUGUCCGGCGAGGCUGAGAAGUACAGGAGGAUGGAGACAGCUCGGUGCACGCGCAUCGGCGAGGUGCUCGGCUGCGGGGUUGUGUGAUCCUGUGGACGCGUCGGCGCAGUGCAGGUCUUGGCGCGAAGGACGGUCACGAAUCCGGUCGAGUUGGUGUGGAGAGCUCGAAGAAUAGCGGCGCCAGGUUCCUGCCGGGAAGAGGCCUGAACAUGAGAGAGGCAAGGAGAGAAGAAAAGCGGGAGGAGAAAGGAGAUGGAGGAAGUUGGUCGCCGGCGGGGUCGCGUGGCCAAGGCAGGGCGCUGGGGAUCGAUCUCCUCUCGAUCCUGGAUCGAGCGGGACACGGCUCGCUGCUACGGGAGGCUCAGGGCUGGGUGCUCGUGGACGAGCCCGUGCUCGAGGCCGAGAGGCGCGCUGCUGCUACUGCUGGGUUGGAUGGCUGCGUAGGCGAGGUGGAGGGGGUGGAUUGUUUCCCUGAAUUCGCUUAUUUACAAUAGCGAACCCGCCGCCGUGCCAAAGCGGCCGGCGCGCGUUCCGCUGGAGCCGGGUAGGCGGCGGCCCAUGGCCCAUAGCAAUUUUUCUGGCCCACGUGAUACGAAGCUGUGAAAACGAAAUUGGACGGACAAAAUUUAAUACCACCUCACAUAUAUGUUUUAAAUAAAUUCAAACUGAAAGCGCAAAUUCAUAUAUAUAUGUGUNNNNNNNNNNNNNNNNNNNNNNNNNNNNNNNNNNNNNNNNNNNNNNNNNNNNNNNNNNNNNNNNNNNNNNNNNNNNNNNNNNNNNNNNNNNNNNNNNNNNNNNNNNNNNNNNNNNNNNNNNNNNNNNNNNNNNNNNNNNNNNNNNNNNNNNNNNNNNNNNNNNNNNNNNNNNNNNNNNNNNNNNNNNNNNNNNNNNNNNNNNNNNNNNNNNNNNNNNNNNNAGGGAAAGAUGUGACCGCUAAUGCAGGAGACAAUCUUCGGAAUGUUUUACAAGUUGAUUAUUUUAGCUUUGAAGUUUCAUCAACUAAACCCAAAAAGGAUGAAGUUAAGCCUAACUUCAGAACUCCAUGUUCCAUCAACUAUUGUAACUCCAUGUGCCAAGGCUGUUCAAUUGAUAUGAGAGGGUCAAGUCGUUUGUUCUAGUAUACUACGUACUUCCUCCGACCGGGUUUAUUAGGCCUCUCAAUAUCACAAGCAUGUCCCCUUUUAUAAAGCUCCACUUUGGAAAGGUGCAUGCAUGCAACCAUUUCAUUGGUUGCAUUGGAAGCCAUUGUUGUUGGUGCCAUGGCUGAAAAAUUAAUACAUUUCAUACGUGCUUUUUCAUUGACCGCAUGCAUGUGAGAGAGUGCAUUGAAAAUGAAAUGAAAGAAUUAAUGUGAGCAAAUUACUAUGUGUUUUGGUCUAAGAAAAGUUAUCUUUAGCUCUAAUAAACCCGACGGAGGGAGUACUAGUUAUCUUCGGAGUCCAGGUUAGUUACUAGGUGAUCAGCUUCCCGGAUAAUUAAUCAUUUAAUUCUUGUUUUGUUGGGAUAGGAAAGAGAGAGAGUCCAGAUUAGGAAGGUCUUGUAUGCAAGUCUUUUUUUUAGCAUCAGUACAGACACAAACGCUCAUAUACACACACAUAUACUCACCCCUAUGAAUGUACACACAUAUAUCCUACCCUUUACGCAAGUCGGUUUGCUAUGUGUGCGUUGUCUAUAUAAAAGGCCGGCUACGGCCGUGUACAGGGUCAAGUUUUUUUAAUUACUAGCAAAAAUGUCAUCACUAAUUAAGGAGUACUCGUUGCAAAGAACACUCCACCUUCCCAGGUCGUGACAAAUGGUGGACUUGCAGCACGUCACUUGUCGCAACCUAGAAGUUUUCCCUUUUUUCGUAGAUACGUUUAUUCAAAACGUUUUAUCUUAUAAACCGUGCGUCCAAAUCUAGAACCGUUUUCACCGUUGGAUUCCUCGCGUCGAGAUCUGCAAAACUAGAUCCCAUGUUGAUAGGUUUUGACGAACUUUUUUCCACGAAAAAACCGGACGAAAUAACCAAACUGGGAGCACGAGUUUUUUCCCUUUUUGAAAGACACACGCUCGUGCCUCUCGCGAAAUCACAAUCGUGCCUCUCGUGGAAGCAAAACCGUGACUCUUGUGAAAGGAAAAAAAAUGUGUUUUUUUUUCGUUUCCGAGAGGCACGGCCGUGACUCUCGCGAAAGCACAACCAUGCCUCUCGCGAACGCAAAACCGUGACUCUCGCGAAAAAAAACAGAAAACGCGUAUUUUUUCCCUUUCCGAGAGGCACAGCCAUUGACUUUCGCGAAAGCACAACCGCGCCUCUCGCGAAAGCAAAACCGUGACUUUCGCGAAAGAAAACAAAACAGAAAACGUGUUUUGUUUUUCCCUUUCUGAAAGGCACGGCCGUGACUCUCGUGAAAGCACAACUGUGCCUCUCGCGAAAGAAAAAAAUGGAAAAUGCGUUUUUUUCGUUUCCGAAAGGCACGGCCGUGACUCUCGCUAAAACACAACCGUGCCUCUCGCGGAAGAAAAACCGUGACUCUCACGAAAGAAAAAAAACGUGUUUUUUUGCACAAAGAAAUUGAAAAAAAAUUGAUCAAAAAGCUAAGGAAUACUGGGGGAAAACCAAAACGACGAAAAAACCGAAAAAUGUUUAAAAAUCCGAAAACGCGUGCCGAAAAAUAAAAAAAUAAAAUCCGGAGGGAGUGUCCAGAGCGCGACAUGUGGCGAAUAGCUGAGAGUGCGCCAAGUGACGCUGAUCGUUACAAGGCCCCCAAAGGAGCGCUCGUUAACUAGUUGCUCUCCAAAAAUGUCCAUGUAUUGUAACGGGACAAAAAAAAUAUUAUGUCCUAACCAAAUAAGUAUGGCCCAAUACUCCAACAUAUGAGCAUCAUCUAUUUUAACAAGGUGGCCCACCAUGUUGCCCCUUAUAUUAUUUCACAACCUUAUUGUUGAUGGGCGCGGUGCUCACGUAAAACUAAUCUCGUUGACCGCAAACUACUUUCAAUGCCUAGACAUAUAAAUACUUACCAAAAACUAAUUAAAUCCUAAACAUUAAAGACUUAGCCACCCAAAUUCCAGAGCUAUUUAGAGCAAUCUUAUGGAGAACUACUGAAAUAGAUCAUAAUAUUCUCUAAAAAAAAUCUUUAUAAGCAUAAUUUCAAACAAUAUGAAAAUUAACAUUAAGCCACUGGUUUACAUAAACCUCGUAUCAAUAGUCUAGGAACCUUUUUUGCCUGGUUUUUAUUUUUAUUAUUUUACGUUCUUACCUUUUACUUUUUUGUUUCCCUUUUUCUUUUAAUUUUUUUCUUUAAUGUUUUUUUCAAGUUUGGUUUUCUUUUAUUUUUGUUUUCAUUCCCUUUUCCUUUUUAAAUUUUAGUUUUUCAUUUUGUGAACAUCUUUCAAAUUCUAGAAUAAUUUAUGAAAUCCUAAACAUUUUUGGAAUUCAAUAUUGUUUCUGAAAUCAUGAACAUUUUUUGAAAUUGCAAACUUUUUCCAAAUUCACAAACAUUUUCUACAAAGUCCUGAACAUUUUCCGAAUUCAUGAACAUUUUUUGGAAACUUUUGAAUUGGCAAACAGUUUUUGAAUCGACAAGCAUAUUGUUCAAAUAUGGGAGCAAUAUUUUGAUAUUCACGAAUAUUUAGUUUUUUAGAUGAACAUUUUGUGAAUUGAUUGAACAGUUUUUGAAUUCAUGAACAGUUUUUGUAUCAACAAACAUUUUUUGAAUUGAUGAACUAUUUUUUAAAUUGGGGAACUAAUUUCGAAAUUGAUGAUUAAUUUUGCAUUUUUCUGAACAUGUUAUAAAAUUUCAUGAAUGUUUUCUAAAAUAACGAAUAUGUUUUGAAUACAUGAUCAUAUUUUCAAAAGUCAUGUAUUCUUUUAUAUUACAUGAACAAUUUUGUCAAAUCACCAACAUUUUUUGAAUCCAUGACUUUUUAUGAUUUUUCUAGAUUUUUUUGAAUUGAAAAACAUUUUUGUCAAAACUCGCAACUUUUUGAAAUUUGGGAAUCCUGAAUUAAUUUACAGAAGGAAUAAUAAAAGCAGAUACAAUAAAAAAAGGGCAAAAGGGUGGAAAAAAAAGGAUGUUGCGCCCCACACAGCCCAAGAACGCGGGAGGUGGUGGCACACGGAUAUCUCCAGGAAUCAAAUCUGGGUCUCUUGCGUGAAGGAGGGAGGCUUCAACCACUGCAGUACAUGUCUAGUUGUGUCGUUGAAGGGUAUUACCCUGUAUAAGAAUGAACUCGACGCGUCUUAGAUAGAAAAAAUUGAAACGUUUUGUUCAUCUAUGGGUGGCAUUGUGGGUAAUUUAGGGCAACUUUUUAGGGUAAUUAUGAUGACGGUGAAUGGCAGAAACAAUCCGUGCAUUAUUAGUAGGUAUAGAAGUUUGAUCGAGAGUUGAAUAAAACAAGAAAAGGCCCCAGGUUGGGGGCAGCCAGCUGCUGUGCUUCUGCGAUCUCAGGAUCGGUUUCUGUUGUAUUGAGAUUGAUCCUUGUCAGUCUUGUUGCUGGUUAAUUUUUGUUCUUGUUAAAUUGCAAGGGCAGAAAUCUGUUUCUUCCUGAUUUAAUAUCUACAUCGACUAGAAUAUUUUCUUGUGGCUGCUGAAAGAUCUACUACGUCGAGAGAACUACAAUAGUACCGUGAAAGGUUGGGCCGUCACUUGCACAAUUUGGUGCCUCGCUAGUUUGUGCCUCGUCAGGUGGUAUUUGAUUGUGCAUACUCAAUUGCUUGCUCAACUUUUUCUUUUUUGCGGAAAAGUGUAAAUAUAUUACUCAAGGGGAGACCCUAGAAAAUUGCUUGCUCAACUUAACUGAACAAUUAGAAAUUAGCAAUUUGGCAGUACAAUUGAACUUUUGGAUUUGUGCUGCAAACAUGGUCACGGUUGAGAAGAUUCUACUGUGGAAGUUCGAACGCAUGGUAUGGUAUGGCAUUGGCAAUGGCAUCGGCAUGCAUGAUAAAAUUGGUGACAUUGGAGCGUAUAAAUAAGUUAAGCUGGGGUGAAUGGACAAGCAGAGCAGAGGUUAAUGCAUGGAGGUCCAACGAAGUAUACAAUAUUUUCAUUGUCUGAUGUAACUCAAUAGUAGUUCUACGUGUACACCAUUUUAAUUAUCAAUAUAAUGGUUAAUGUGUCGUAUGAUAUGCUUUGUCACUAUGCAUCGACAGUCCGAUCUACUUCAAAUAAUAUACUAAUUUUUUUGGAUUAGUAAUAAUUAAACUCUCGAAGAAUAUGCUUCAAGUCAUGAAAAUUCAGAAAUAAGAGAAGAAGGUCUCUACAAGCCUCCUCAGAGAUCAGCGAUUCUGGGCCGUUGGAUCGGUUCCCUUGAUGCGUUUUCGUCCGUUGGAUCGACAUCUGGAGAAAUCUGGGCCGUUGGAUCUGGGCUCGGCACUGCUGGAAUGAAUAGUAAUGACAACAAAAUGUAAAUAUCAUGCCCCCACCAGGGCAUUUUGGUCAUUUCGUGUGGUGGGGGUAUAAAAGGCCCGGCUCCCCUGGUGAACCCUAGCCUCCUCCUCUCCCCGCACUCGCCCGCCCCUCCCUCGCCCGCCCCGCCCUGCCCCGCUGUCCCGCCUCGCCCGUCCCGCUCGCAGUGGCCGAUGCNNNNNNNNNNNNNNNNNNNNNNNNNNNNNNNNNNNNNNNNNNNNNNNNNNNNNNNNNNNNNNNNNNNNNNNNNNNNNNNNNNNNNNNNNNNNNNNNNNNNNNNNNNNNNNNNNNNNNNNNNNNNNNNNNNNNNNNNNNNNNNNNNNNNNNNNNNNNNNNNNNNNNNNNNNNNNNNNNNNNNNNNNNNNNNNNNNNNNNNNNNNNNNNNNNNNNNNNNNNNNNNNNNNNNNNNNNNNNNNNNNNNNNNNNNNNNNNNNNNNNNNNNNNNNNNNNNNNNNNNNNNNNNNNNNNNNNNNNNNNNNNNNNNNNNNNNNNNNNNNNNNNNNNNNNNNNNNNNNNNNNNNNNNNNNNNNNNNNNNNNNNNNNNNNNNNNNNNNNNNNNNNNNNNNNNNNNNNNNNNNNNNNNNNNNNNNNNNNNNNNNNNNNNNNNNNNNNNNNNNNNNNNNNNNNNNNNNNNNNNNNNNNNNNNNNNNNNNNNNNNNNNNNNNNNNNNNNNNNNNNNNNNNNNNNNNNNNNNNNNNNNNNNNNNNNNNNNNNNNNNNNNNNNNNNNNNNNNNNNNNNNNNNNNNNNNNNNNNNNNNNNNNNNNNNNCGACCCCGUCGUCCCGCCCCACCGUCUCGCCCGCCCCGCUCGUCCCGCUCGCCGUGGCCGUGGCCAAUGACCGCGGCCCCGUCGUCCCGCCCCGCUCGCCAUGGCCGAUGACCGCGCCACCAGGGACCGCCGCCACUCGAUGAGGAGGCCUGGACCUUGGCGCAGACUCGUGCCCCCGCGCGGCAGCGGCAGAUCCCUCAUCGCGGAGCCAGCCCUCCCGCCGGUGCCACGCCGCGCCGCGAUGCCGCUGGCUUGGAGGCCCGUGUUCAGGCAGCCGCCGCGGCGUCGCCGGAUGCGGUGGCAGGCUCUCAAGGGACCGCUUGGCAGGGGGGCCGUCGCGGCUUCUGGUGGUGCCAAGCCAUAGAUCUGAGCCGCCGUUUACACUUCGGUUUCGAUUUGGUGCCUCCACUCCUCACCACCUCUCCCUCUCUGAUCUUGUUUGUUUGUAGGCCUGGGCUUGUAGGUUAUUUGUCUUCUCUGUAUGUAGAUGUUGUUGGAUUUAAACCAUAGUCGAAAGAUGGGGGCCUUUUGUGCUCUCAGGUUUGGCUAUAUUCCAACUAUUGGGAUUUCUCUCAAGUCUAGCUAGGUUCCAAAGAUGGCCACAGAGCCUUUUGUGCUCUCAGGUUUGGCUAGAUUCCAAGUAUUUGGAUUUUUUGGGUCAAUGGUCUGCCUAGGUUGGCUAGGCUCCAAAGCUGGCCACUUCUCUGUGGCCUUUUGUGCUGCCUUGCUUGGACUCGAUGGGAGAGAGAUAAGGGUUGGGCUAGGUUCCAAAGAUGGCCCCUUUUCUGUGGCCUUUUGUGCUGCCUUGCUUGGACUUGAUGGGAGAGAGAGAAGGGUUUGGCUAGGUUCCAAAUAUUGGGAUCUUUUGGAAGUUAAGGUACUCAUGUGCUCUUUGUUAUAUUGUAAAGUAUGUAUAUGGGGUAUUCCUCUGGUUCAAAAUGAAUACUAGGUUAAGAUCCUUACACUUGAAAUUUAUCAUUAUUUGGAUACUCUGCAGUGUUGUUUUGUUUACUAAAUUCUCCAGUUAUUUUCAGUUUCAAUUAGGCUCUGUGUAGUGAUUAUCUCGGCUUUUGCAAUAGCAACUAUACCAUCGUGAUGUGUAAUUACAGAUUGUUUUAGUGUUAUAAUUUGUUCUGACUUCCAUGAUUUAUAGUAUUGACAUAUUGAGCUUGUAUGCCCUUUCCAUGAAUUGAGUUCUAUGUAAGUCUUGGCAAUGCAUUGACAUGGUUCUGGUAGCCAUUAUGAUGCAUGAUGCACCACAACGUCAGUUCCUUUCUAUCACUGUUUUUUUGAUAAAUCUUGCUGCAGUGAAACCCAAAGAACGAUAUGGAUGUGAAUGAAAAGGGUACUAUUUAUUAGUCUUAUAGUGGCCUGACAUGCUAUCGAAUUUUUUUAGUAUCUAAAAAGGCAGACCAGUUUUGCAAUGAAUGUUUAUAUUUUCCAUUACAUUUGGUCAUAAGAUUUUACUUUGUUUUUCCAGGAGAGUUUCACUUCAUGUAGCUACUACACCAGGAGAAUUGUAUGCUUGCGCCGAGGAAAAUGUUAUGCCGACUGUGGACAAGUGCCCUGAACUCACCUAUGCCCAGUAUGGAUGGCUUUUCAAUUUCAUGCCUUCACUUCUAGAUUGUAAUCCUACUUGGUUUUUGCAUCAGUGAUAAGUGAAGUUCUCUACAUUCCUCGAUUUUUAGUGUUAGGAGACAGAAUGUGUAUCCUUACUUACCUCUUCCUACAUUUUUGGUUUGCCUUUUUUGACCCAAAUAAACCACACCUUUACCAUAUUUUACACUGAUGUCAUAUUUAAUCGUUGGCAUAGCUUUGGAAGUUCAGUUCAGAUCAAAAGAUCAUCCCAUAUGACCAGAAACUGUUUAUGUUCAGAUUAUAAAUCAUAUGCAAUUUAAUGUUUUUAAAUGGAUAGGGUGAUUGGCAAUAGAUAAAUGAUAUUAGCUUUGCAUUGCGGAUUAUUUCCUUUUUUGGCUAUAGGUUUUAGCCAUUAAAUUUAACUAUAGGUUUGUUUCUGUAACUUGUUCGCCUUUAGAACAGGAUUUUGCGUGGCUUACAAAAGAAAAGAGUGAAUGGUUGGUGCGUGGGAGUGCACCAUGGGUCUGGUCUGGAUUGUUUUAGCUCGGAUUUUGUCAUCUUUUUACCUCUUAUUUCGCUUUGGGUGCGGUGUUGGGCGUUCCUUCCUUGGAUUGUAGCUAUCUCCUUUUCUUUCUCUUCUUCUUCUUUCAUUUUUUCUUUGUCUUUGCCUUAGCACUGAAAUGCAUAUCUACUGUUUUGCAGGUAAUCUGGUGUGAGCUCAAGGUAAAAGGCAAAGCCUAAAGGUAGGCAAUCAUCAUUAGCUAGGUAGUCGAUUAUACAGUAUGUAGCAAACAUUGUUGUCUUCGACUGAAUGUUUGACUUAUUCUCAUUCAAUCUCACCUUUUCAUUUGCAUGACAUCAGAACUGGAAACAUCAAAAUUGGUGCCCCGGUCAUCUCUGCCCCUGGUGGUGCUCCUAGAUGUACAUCACUUCCUCGCCUCCUUGGCCGCUUCGGUGCCCGUGGCGUUCGUCCUCGUUGGUGGGACGGUGCAAGGCACAACUCCGAUGCGGCGGCGUGAAUGUGCGGUGUAGAAAGUGGUUCCUCGCAGGCUAGACGGCGUUCAAGCGCAACCCCAACGCCCACUGAGUACUGCCUCGGCUACAACCUCCCUCGGUGAGCUCCAUCUUCCUCCUGCUCCUCUGCUUUGGCUACUGUAUGGGACAUGGCCAGGGCUAUGAUGAUCAGUUAUGGCUGAUAUAGGCAUGCUCUCGAGCAGUCGAGGCACAUGUNNNNNNNNNNNNNNNNNNNNNNNNNNNNNNNNNNNNNNNNNNNNNNNNNNNNNNNNNNNNNNNNNNNNNNNNNNNNNNNNNNNNNNNNNNNNNNNNNNNNNNNNNNNNNNNNNNNNNNNNNNNNNNNNNNNNNNNNNNNNNNNNNNNNNNNNNNNNNNNNNNNNNNNNNNNNNNNNNNNNNNNNNNNNNNNNNNNNNNNNNNNNNNNNNNNNNNNNNNNNNNNNNNNNNNNNNNNNNNNNNNNNNNNNNNNNNNNNNNNNNNNNNNNNNNNNNNNNNNNNGUGCCCCAUCGGUCGGAAGCCAUUCUUGCUAGGGCGAUGAUGAUUGCCGUGGCUGAAAUAAGUGUACCUUUGAGCAAUCGAGGCACCUGUGGGUAUCAAGUUGGAUCCUCCCUCUUGUCUCUAGAAUCCUUUUUCAUCCUAUGAUACUUAUUGUUCUACCCUUGGAUGGUCAUUCUUGUUGAGUGAUAACCAGGGCAGCUCAACUGUAUAAACAGAUUGAUCUGGUGAUAAGAGAUGACGGGGGUAGGUUAUAUGAUCGAGGAAAGGCAAAUCUGAGCCCACUAUGCAUUGAACCCUGAACUCUUUUUAUUUGUAUUUAAAGGUGUUGCUUAUUUAUGCUCCAGUGUUUAUAGCUGUCUUAUGUAAAGAUUUCUUCUCUCUCAUACCUUUAUUGCAUAUAAGUUGUUCUUGAUCUUUUAUUGUUUGUUGUUGGUUUUCGAGCUGUGGAAUGUAUUCCUAAUCCUGAUCUAUAGAAUUGCCUUUCUGAACUUGAUGUCUAAAUUCUACUGGACAAUGCUUAUUUGGCCAGAUGCUCAUAGGUUAAGUUAUUUGAUGCAUUGCUUUCACUAUCAAAUUGUUCGCUGAUUUGAGCAUCUGGCUGCAUACUGUAUUGUUUUAUAUUUGGACCAAGAGAGCGCAGAGGGAGAUCUUCUCUGUCGCGCCGGCGGCAGCAACAGGGAAAAUCCAGUCCACAGUGCCACCAAUGAGAAAGGUAAAGACGAGAUGUCGGUCGCUUAUUAAUUCCGUGCCCCUAGCUAUAGUGUCGAUCAACAAAUGGCUCGACCUAUCCUUAAGGUAAUAUUAGAGUCGUUUCUCCUGAGUGUGAUCCGCUGAUCCUUAGAGCCAUUUUCUCCCGAGUGUGAUCAUGAGAUUAAAUAAUGGUCUCUUGCACACCAAUUUGCUUUCCUACACUUUGUUACUUAGUUAGUCUUCAUUAUAUCAUAACUCACAACUUUUCUAACUCUUCAUUAUAUGUUCCGCUCUUUACUGAAUCUUGAUGUUGCAUAUUGAACCUUAUGUAUAUUCUUCUUGCAUCUAAAUUGUUGCUUUCUACUCAAUAUUGUGUGUAUAUGUCCAUCUAUGCAUAAUAUGUGUCCCAAAUGAUGUGAUAUGUUCUUUUAGCCAUGAUCCGAUUUAUAUAGCGAGGCCGACGAUUUGACCGUAACAUUUUUUCUCCUCGGGUUGAAUACUGCAUCUUUUUUGAAAUUGUCCUAAAUGUUUUAUAGCUCCUAAGUAAUGUAUUAUCGAAGCCGGUGGGAAAAUAUGUUGUGUCUUAAGAUAAUUAUAAAAUAACCGAAUAUAUCAAAAUGAUAAUGACAUUGGAUUAAAUUUAGAGGAAUAUGACAGAAAGUUUAACCUUCAAUAUUGUAGGUUUUCCUGAUUGUCUGGCACCUUAUUAGGAGACGAUGACCACUACCAUGAAUAGGUUUAAAUGCCACACUGCUUCCAUUGGACAAAUCAUGAUAGAAAACUAAUGUGCCUAAACUUAUAACAUAAACUGCUGCUGCUUUGUUGUUUUUAUCGAGGAUGUUUUCUUUAAGCAUAUGCUAAUCACAGACUAUCUCCUAUUUCACUUAGAUUAUUCAUACACUACAAGAAAUAUGUCAACUUGUGACCACCACUAUUGGUCACUGAAUGGUCACAGUUUUCCAUUUGUGACCUUUUUGUGACCAAAAACAUAAGGUCAAAAGCUGUCCGUCGUAAAAUGACAUUAGCGACCUUUCUUCUGGAAUGGUCGUAGACGUUUAUGACCAAAAAAAGGUUGUAGAUUUAACGACCAAUUAUUGUGGUCACUAGCAAUCCGACCACACCACGUCAGAUCCACCGUGGCAAGCUGACGUGGCAGAAUUACGACCAAAUGAAAAGGUCGUAAAAUAGAAUCAGCCCGGUCCAUUUCAGCCGUCUACAUGGGCCAAGCCCAAUAAUUCAGCCCAUUUAAUUUUUUUCUAUUUAUUUUGCUUAUCUGCAUGGGCCUGGCCCAAUAAUUUGGCCUUUUAUUUUCUGGGAAUGGAGCCUUUUUCUGAUGAAUUUUAUUUUAUAGUCCACUAUUGUUUUGGGCCACAACCUUUUUAGUGUAGUUCGAAUUUGGGCCUUGGCCUUUUUAUUUUCUGUUAUGCAGCCUUUCAUUUUUUUAUUACAGUCAUUUCUUUUUUUAGGCCCAAGCCUUUUUAGUCUAAUUCUUGUUUGGGCCUCGGCCUUUUUAGAGCCCAGGUUCUUAUUUUGCAUAACUAUAAACAGAAAUGCCCAGGUGCACAAGUGAUCCACAAGCCCAGGUUCAAACAGCAAGGCCCAGAUGCACAAGUGAUCCACAUAACUUCACGAAAAAUAAACACGGGUUCACAAGAUCAUAACUUCACAGGUUCACAUAACUUCACAGGUUCAUAAGAUCACAUAACUUCACAGGUUCACAGGCAGCAAUGCAACAAAAUGCUCAAAGACAAACUGCACAAGAGGUUCACAGCCAUCAAACUAGGCAGCAAUGCAACUACCUGCUCAAACUGCACAGCCAUCAAACUGCCUUAGCUCCAAAGAGAGCCAUCAAGUGGGCUAACUUCUCUUCCUGCUCUUGAGACUUCUUGCGCAGCAGCUCAAGUUCCUUGUCGCGUGCAGCUUCAUAUUCUUCCGCCUUCAUCUUGAUUGCCACCAAUUCUUCUUGCAUUAUUCAGCUUGAAGCUCAGACCUCUCCAGCUUCUGCUCAAGGUCACGAACAUGAGCAGCCACUUCAGCAGUUGCUUUGCCGGAGUUCCUAGCUUUGCCGGAGUUCCUAGAUGACUGGAGCCCAACAUUCCUAAGGAAUGUGCUUUGCUUGACUUCGGUCUUGAGCACUUCUUCGACAGUUUCAACAUCAGACUUUGGCUCUUCACCUUCCGGUACCGGCGCGUCCUUCAUUUUUUCCAUCUCAAGCUAGCAUAUGGAGGAAAAUGAUAGGCAUUAGUGGGAGAUCUAUUUCACAGUUUGCAAACCAAACCAAGCAAGAGAAACCAAACCAGCACACAAAUGGAUUAUUUGAAGUAACCAAACCAGCACACAAAAUCUAUACAAGAAGAUGAUGACUAGUGACCUGGAGACAUGCAAUUGGAACAAUAUGAUCACUUCAUUAAGCCUAGAAUGGUGGUUCUAUAUAAGAUGGCUUCCCGAGUGAGCCGAUCAUCAAACUAAUAUUCAGAUCAAAUUUCAUCAUAUCAUAAAAAAUGCAACAAAUCGCUACGGCAAGUUCUGAUAUCUUUGUUGAACUAUCAAACAACAUCAAAGCAUGGAACAUAGCGUGUGUUCUUGACUGGCUCCGAAUCAAACAACAUCAAAUCAUCAAAGCAUCAAAGCUGGCUGUGAAUCAAACAGGGCAAAGCAUGGAGUGACUUACUAUAGCAGUCUUGACUGGCUCCGAAAACCCGUGCUUCUUGCUGUUGUGGGUGGCCUUAAACAAGUCAAUCGCAGACAGCUCCUCACCCUUACGCUCUUCUUUCUGAAAUGUUUUUCAACAAAAAUCAAAAUGUUAUUCAGCAAGAAUCAGAAAUAAUAUUUAAUGAGGAUCAAACGGUAAGGUCUGUAGAGAAAAGUUCUCACAGUGGCAAAAAUGUGUGCUGUGUAGUGCCUGGAACCAGUUCUCUGAUUGUACAUGACUUUUUCUCGAUUCAUCUUGUUCGACACAUAGGUUUCCUACAAAAAAGCAUAUUGUCAGCAUGAUCUAGCACUAGCAUAUCAUGUGCAGAACAUAAAGCAUCAAACAAAGCAGAGACAAACCUUGUGUCUUGGGGUAGACCACAUCUCCACCAGAGCUUGCCAUUCACCAUCCGUCAGAUCAGGCACGGGAGACUUAAUGCUGACUUUAUUUGCGGCUAACGUAUCAAAAUACUUCUUCUUGAUCUGAUGGCGUCUGUUCUUUGAAUUUUUCUGCAGAAUAUCUUUGCACGCGGUCUUGAUGGUCUCCCAGUCCGUGUUCAUCUCAAAAUUUGCCUACCAAGACAACAAACAAGGUAGGGACAAUAUUAGUGAUCAUGCAUAGGUGUAAUAGAAAAUAGAUAGCACAUUAACUAUGAAACAAGUAGGUUACAGCAACUUUCCCAAUGUAUUUCUCCAAUAGACUAGCAUUUUUCUUGUAUAGCUUUAAGUGAGGAAGAACCGGAAGAUGGCUUCUUGCAACGAGUCCACACUCAGAAGCAAGCUUUGCUGCCUGCAGAGGCUUCUCUGGACGCUUCAUCCCUUCGGCAAUUUGGAUAGGCACCUUGCUACCAAGCGACUUGGUGAUCCUCUCUAGCCCUUUGCCCUUUCUAAGUCUAGUCUUGGUAGUCAUUGCAUCUGAAAAUGAAAUUGAACUCAUAAAUUAGAAUAUAAAUCGACAAAUGCAGGAAUCGACAAAAGCAUACAUGAUCAUUCCAUUUGGAAAAUGCACUAGUAAAAGAUAGCAUUGCAAAGGUCAACUUGCCUGAUUGAAGCACAAGCUGCUGUUCUUCUUCAUUGAUGACAUCAUUCCUGUCAAUAAAAGGUGCAACAGGGCUGAGGUCUGUGUGGAGAGUGUCUGCUUCAUCAAUGCAGAUGGUUGCUACUUCAUCUAGGCAGACAGUGCCACUUCCAUCCAUGCUGAGAGUGGUUCCUUCAUCCAUGGGCGGCAACUCAUCACCCAUUUGCACCGAUGUCUCAGAGUCCAUGCGCAGCAGACUUUCCUGAUGGUCCGUCGCAGUCACCAUAUUUGCUUUCUGCCUUGUGACUCUAUCAAGGGCAGGUUCAUCAGGUUCCAGGAUCCUCUUUUUUGUCCUGGAGCUAGGGCCAUCACCCUUCCUGGAGGCAUUGCAGCAGAUGUUUCUAAGCUCUUCUUCUUCUUGCUGACUGUCUUCUUAACACCAUGCCUCUUCGUCCUAGAUUCCUUCAGUGCCUCGUAUAAACAGCACGGAAAAAAGCAUUAGAUCACAAGAGAAAUAUGUGAGCACAAGGAAUAACAUAGCAUAAAAGAACCCCAACCCUCCAAGCAAGAUAGAGUUUGCACCUUAACAGUCUUGUUCACUACAACAUCAUCCACUUCCUCUCCAUCAAUAACUUCAUCCUCCUUAGGAUUGUACUCUGGGUCAUCAUUGAUAACUCCACUACCUUCUUGAACCUCAUCACUUCUACCUUCUUGUACACCAAUUGUUUUCCUAAUCAUCGACGCUAUUGCACCGAUGCCAAGGGACUGGAACAUCCGAUUGUUCCUCAUGAUAUUUCUAGCCCUAACCUUCUCGUACUCGGUGAGAGGCUCUUCUUUGCAUGGUAAAGGAAACGUAACUAUUAGGUGAAUGUUUGGAAUGCAUGGAUAGGCAGCCAAACAUAUCUUAUGAAAUUUUAUUAUCAUUUAAUCCUAGUUAUUCAGGUAAGGAAGACUAACAGCACACAAGCACAAUUAAGCCAGCUUAUUCAGAUUGCAGCAAUGCAUUUCACUUAGCAUAUUAAGACACGGAUUUUAUGAAAAUGACAGUAUAACCACAAGGAGCAAGUUGCAUACCAACGGUUGGCCUCAUGCUUGACCUUGUCAUCCUUGCCAUGGAUGAUCUUGAGGUGGUUGGAACAUUUCUAUAAUAGCUUGCAAAAUAAAAUAAACAAGAAUGAGAUAUAACAGGGACAAAGUAGAAUGAUGCACUUGUAUCAAUAAAGGAAAGCACUUGAACCAACAUCCACACACAAGUGUAGCAAUGCAUCAAUAAUAAUACAUGUGAAGCAAACUUGCUGGAUCAACAAUAUAGUGAUGUAGUUAAAUUAAUUAAACAACCAUGUAAUUGCACUAAACAAGCAUGCAUGUACACAGGAAGGAUAUGAAGCAUGCCUUAAAAUCUUGACUACAUAAAGCAGGGGGUAGCAAUGUACAUACCUCAACUAAGUUAAUUGGUGUCAUUACAUAAAAGUAGCACAAAGUAACAAACUAACACAGCCAUACAAUCAAUAGAAUAAAGCUUAGAGAAAUGGCAGAUGGACUUAAUCAUUUAGUAAUGAACACCAUGAAUUAACUAGACCAACCCAGAGGGCAUAUAUCACACCUACAUUAACUACUCUAGUAGUGCAGUGAGCAGGAAGCUUUCUAUAUGAACAACAGAGUCCCAUAGGAAGAAAUGAGAGAUCAGCACUGCCACUGACCAAUUUAGCAAACCCAGGAACAUAGCUAUGGAACUAGAUCAUCCAUAUGUAAACCAAAGCAUGCAGGAGCUCACAUGAUAGAAAACAAACAUGAAUGGGAACCUACAAGCCCUAGAUAGCAUGGGAACAAUAACUACAGAGCUUUAGAUUUAGUGGUGACCAUAAUCAAGAACAAAUAACAGGAUUGGCAGCAGAGGGAGAGGGAUAUGGAGAUGGACAAUAACCUGCUUUUGUGGUGGUGCGUCGUGGUAGCCGUGCUUGAGCUCCUCCUCCUGAUGCUGCUCAAUGACCUGCAGGACAAACAAGGCCAUGGAUGAGCUGUCACAGGGCAUCCACAUGAUAACGCAAAACAUCAAGCAACAAUCUAGAAUAAUAUCAAGCCACAGGCCAUGUCAGAGUCAUUGACAGGGAUGCACAAUCAAAUAGAGAAUACAAAAUCUAGAAUAAAGAACCACCUCCCCAUAAAACCCUAACCCCAUGAAUCCAACCCCAUACAAAAUCAGAUUACUCAUCAUAAUCAAUGUGCAGUAGCACAUUCUCAUCAGAAUGGAACAGAAAAAAGAAUUAUGGACAUUCUCAUAGGCAUGCAUGAUUUGCUAUAUCAACCCAUAUAGACCAACAACAAUUGCAAGUAAGUGGCUUUGUGUAGGCUAACCCCUGAGAACAUGCACAUACUCUUAGCAACAAUUGAAAUCAUGCAUAGGGAGGCAAUUUAGAACAUGCACUCAGACCCCCGUGAAACCAAUGAACCCUAACCCCAUGAACCAGAGGGAGAUCAUCCCCAUGAAUCCCCAUCGAUCCUACCCCAUGAACCAGAGAGCAACGUAUACCCUAACCCUAACCCCAUGAAUCCUAACCCUAACCCGCGUCGAUCCAUCCCCAUGAAACCUAGAAGAACCCAUGAGGGGGAUCUACCGAACCCUAGAAGAUCUAAACAUCGAGGGGAGAUGGAUCAAGGAGAGCAACGUACCUGCCGUCAUCGAUCGUCGAUGAUGUAGAUGAUGUAGUCGCCGUCGUCGAUGUAGCCACCGUCGUCGAUGUAGUCGUCGUUGACGACGUAGUCGUAGCCGGGGCGGUUGAUGUAGCCGUAGAUGUCGUCGACGUAGCCGCCGUCAUGGAGGGGAGAGGGGAGGGAUUCGUCGUCGGGGAGGCGCGGNNNNNNNNNNNNNNNNNNNNNNNNNNNNNNNNNNNNNNNNNNNNNNNNNNNNNNNNNNNNNNNNNNNNNNNNNNNNNNNNNNNNNNNNNNNNNNNNNNNNNNNNNNNNNNNNNNNNNNNNNNNNNNNNNNNNNNNNNNNNNNNNNNNNNNNNNNNNNNNNNNNNNNNNNNNNNNNNNNNNNNNNNNNNNNNNNNNNNNNNNNNNNNNNNNNNNNNNNNNNNNNNNNNNNNNNNNNNNNNNNNNNNNNNNNNNNNNNNNNNNNNNNGGAGGGAGAAGCUAGGGUUCGUCGGGGAGAGGGGAGGGGAAUGGGGAAAUUUUGGUAGGGAAGGGGAGGGGAUCCCGCGUGUUAGUGGGAGAGGGAGUGGUGGGACCCGCCUGAUAGUGGGAGAGAAGUGGUGGGAAAUUUUGGUGGGGUGGGAGGGAAAAUUUGGUGCUAGGAGGGAAAUUUUGGUGGGGUGGGAGGGAAAUUUUCACCAGUUUUUAGAGGUUUGGAGGCAGAAAAAAUCAGGGGCUUUUUUGUAAACUUUGUAGAAAUCAUGGUUAAAAUCAUACCGAAUAGCUCAAGAAAACGCCGGUAUUGCAAGUUUAGUAUUUUUGCUAAUUGGUAGGCCACAUUUCAUGAUGCUACGCGGAGGUCUCCCAUUUUUUGAUUUUUUUUGAAUUUUUUUACGAUGUUUUCAAAAACCGGCCGAUUUCGUCGCGGCGGCCGUCCGUGGCUAGGGUUUGAGUCGUGCAAAUCUGUUGUCGAUUCUGUGAUGAAAUGCCUACCUGUGAAGCUAAAAAGCAUUUUUAGUGAAAAUAACGGGCAAGCUAUGGAGGACCCGUAGUUCAAAUUCCAGCUGAAUCGGCCGAAGGUGGUCUGAAUUGCCGGGAGUAGCUACGAGGGCUGGAAAUGCAUGCUUUUUGGCGACCAUCCGUAAAAUAGGGUCUACUUUGAGAUAGACAUGGAAUGGCGCCGUUUGGGGUGACCCUCCUUGUAGCCUCUUCACGAAAAACGCAUGUCUUUAGCAUUCAAAAAAUGAAAAACGGUUUUUUUGUUAAACAAGUUGGAACCUCGCUUUGGCAACAUUGUUUGCCAUGACAAGACGGAGGCAUGCGCCAAAUUAGGGCAUAUUAUCAGAAACUAUUCAACGGAUGCGUCCAUAUCAUUGCUAGUUUGGCUUGAAAGUCAUGAAUCUUUGUUCAUGGUAGGUCGUUUUUUAGAACACUUUUUCAAGAAAACGCCGAUAUUGCAAGUUUAGUAUUUUUGCUAGUUGGUAGGCCACAUUUUAUGAUGUGACGCGGAGGUCUCCCAUUUUUUUGAUUUUUUUUGAAUUUUUUACGGUGUUUUCAAAAACCGGCCGAUUUCGUCGCGGCGGCCGUCCGUGGCUAGGGUUUGAGUCGUGCAAAUCUGUUGUCGAUUCUGUGAUGAAAUGCCUACCUGUGAAGCUAAAAAGCAUUUUUAGUGAAAAUAACGGGCAAGCUAUGGAGGACCCGCAGUUCAAAUUCCAGCUGAAUCGGCCGAAGGUGGUCUGAAUUGCCGGGAGUAGCUAUGAGGGUCGGAAAUGCAUGCUUUUUGGCAACCGUCCGUAAAAUAGGGUCUACUUUGAGAUAGACAUGGAAUGGCGCCGUUUGGGGUGACCCUCCUUGUAACCGCUUCACGAAAAACGCAUGUCUUUAGCAUUCAAAAAAUGAAAAACGGUUUUUUUUGUUAAACGAGUUGGAACCUCGCUUGGGCAACAUUGUUUGCCAUCACAAGACAGAGCCAUGUGCCAAAUUAGGGCAUAUUAUCAGAAACUAUUCAACGGAUGCGGCCAUAUCAUUGCUAGUUUGGCUUGAAAGCCAUGAAUCUUCGUUCAUGGUAGGUCAUUUUUUAGAACACUUUUUCAAGAAAAUGCCGGUAUUGCAAGUUUAGUAUUUUUGCUAGUUGGUAGGCCACAUUUGAUGAUGUGACGCGGAGGUCUCCCAUUUUUUUGAUUUUUUUUGAAUUUUUUACGGCGUUUUCAAAAACCGGCCGAUUUCGUCGUGGCGGCCGUCCGUGGCUAGGGUUUGAGUCGUGCAAAUCUGUUGUCGAUUCUGUGAUGAAAUGCCUACCUGUGAAGCUAAAAAGCAUUUUUAGUGAAAAUAACGGGCACCGUUUGGGGUACGGUGCCCCUCCUUGUAGCCGCUUCACGAAAGACGCAGGUCUUUAGCAUUCAAAAAUGAAAAACGGUUUUUGAAUUUUUUUACGGUGUUUUCAAAAACCAGUGGAUUUCGUCACAGCGGUUGUCCGUGGCUAGGGUUUGAGUCAUGUAUUUAGCAUUCAAUAAAUGAAACUUAUAUUGUUUCAUACAUGAGCAUGCACAAAAACCCAUAAUUUUAUCUUUCAUCCAUGAGCAUGCAGAAAAAAUUUCAAUUCCCAUCAAUUACCAAACUGAAUAUUCAUUGUUAAGAAAUUGACAUGUUUAGAUGACACUGUCAUACAGCAUCCAUGAGCAUGCACAAAAUUAAAUCUGACAUACUUAACAUUGACUUGUUCAGAUUACACUAACAAGCUUAAACCUAACAUGCUUAACAUUGCCACUUCAUUUUCUUAACAUCUUCACUCCUCCUUCUUCUCCUUCAUCAACCUGAUGCACUCAGAGUGGCGAAUCCCAACGCGGAUGUACUCCUCUACCACAAUUGGCAUGGUCCUGUCGCCAAGCUGUGGGAUUGCAGGCGCCACCACCAUCACGAGGUCGUCGUCCGCCACCACCAUAGCAAGGUCGUCGUCCGCCACCACCAUAGCAAGGUCGUCAUCCGCCACCGCCAUAGCAGGGUCGUCGUCAGCCACCAUCAUAGCAUGGUCGUCGUCAGCCAGAAUAGGCUGCUCGUCAUCAUCCCCGCUCUGCUCCUCGUCAUCCCCGCUGCUGCUCUCAUUGCCUGGCCAGAUGCAACAAAGUGUGAACAUGGUGUUGUCGUCGUGCAGGUAGAGGAAGCCAAAAGGACAGGAAGAAGAGAGGCAGAGAGCUUACUGGCAUCAUCGUCAUGCUGGUAGUACAUGCGGCACAUGGUGUUGUCGAACAUCUUCACGGUGAACAUGGCGUCGCCGUUGUAGCGGAAGACAAGGAAGUACCCGAGCUGUAGCUCAUGGGCGCGGGCGAAAUGCUCCUAGCCGGGCCCUAGGUACAUGUGGCCUUCACCAUCGAACACCACCAACACGUCCCACAGCCUGUGAAGCCCGCUGCCGGCCUCCCACAGCUUCACUUUGUGGGGCUCACAGCUGGCGAGCAUCUUCGCAAACUUGUCAGUCAGUCUCUGCAGCUAGGGUCAAGCAGUGGUUAAUUGUGGCAAUCAAGCACAAGAUAGCAGAGUGAUGAUAAAGAAAUGAGUGAUGAUAAAUAUACCCGCCUACUACAAGAUUUCUCAAUUACAAUCUCGAAGAACUCAAAACCUUCCAAGCCAGCCAUCUCACUUCUCUGAAAAGCAGCAUUGUAGUUAAACAACAAGUUACCAUAAACAGGACUGGACAUAAAUAGGAACAGAACCAAGUUUAUGAUGGCAAAAGUGAUAAAAAUGAGAAAAGCAAUGCACUUGUGGAUAUUUAUGAUAGCAAAAGUGAGAAAAAAAAGCAAUGCACUUGUAAACAUUUGGAAUACUACUACUCUAUCUACAAUGGACCAUAUCUGCCCAUGUCUACUAUAAAUGGCAAACACAACAUCAGAAUCAUAUCUACUAUAAAUGGACCAUAUCUACAAUGAACCAUAUCUACUAUAAAUGGACCAUAUCUUCCCAUGUGCUACAUUUUGUUAGAACCCAACACUUAAGAACUGAACCCUAGAUUCUCAAUUUAAACACACCUACCCAAUACAGUCAUGUACAAAACUGAACAGCUUUAUAGUCGUCGAUAUGCGCAUGAAGGCUAUUGGCUUGACAACGAUAUAGUCAUGUACAAAACUGAAUUUAACACUAGAAUUUCAGAGAUUCAGAGCUAUUGGCUUAAUUUGCUUUGCUAGGGUUUAUAUAGCCAAAGGCCACUGGAGGCUAGAUCCCCUACAAGUUUAACUGCUCCAGUGUGCCGCUGCAUCUUUUUAGACAAAUAUAAACAUGUUUAUUUUAAAAACAAACAAACAAAAUUAGAAAAUACUAAUGCACUUGCAACAUUAUAAGUGUUGGCAUCAUUUUUUUCCCUUUUGGUCUGCCUUUUCUAUUUCUGAUGAAUUCUACGUCACUGUGAAGAGAACCACAGGGAAACUAGCAUACCUAGCAAGGUAGCACCACAUCAACUAAACAUGGCCAAAAGGGACCUAAACCUAAAUGCCUAAUUCAGUCUACAAAAUCCCUCUGAAUAUGGUCCAAUCGCUCGACAGUUGGGCUGGAAUCAACAGAACGCACGUGCAGGCAUAAUACGACCAUUAGCCAUGUAGUAUACCACAAUUCCAGUAGGGAUGCACGCGCAGGCACAAUACGAGUAACUCUAAAUCAGCAUGCUUGUUGGCCUUGUCGACAAAGAACAUUGGGGAAACAAAGCAAAUCAAAGAACACAGGGGGAACAGAACGGACCUGGGGGGACGACGACUGCUUGAGCUUGUUGGCCUUGUCGGUGUCGUGGACGGUGCCUCCUCUUGAUCUACUACUCUAUCUAUAAUGGAACCCUAAUCAGCAUGCGCCGGGGAACCCUAAUCUAAUCAAUAGGAAGAGGAACAAGAAGGACUCGGCGGAUUCAUACCUUAGGAGGCCAUCACCGUCGCCGUCGAUGGAGGAGUGGGUCGCCAGGGAGGUCGUCACCGUCGAUGGAGGAGAAGGGGAUGCCGGCGACGGAGAGGAGGAGUGGGUCGAGUGGAUAAUGGAGAGGAGGAGCGGGUCAAGUGGACAGGAGGAGUGGGGAAAAGAGUGGGUCCACUUGUCAGCGAGUUCUGCUUUGAUAUAUUGAAAAGGGUUGGCAUAGAGUACAAAACCAAUAGCCUCUAACUAGCCCAGUGUAGAAAAACAGUGGAAUAAGCGGCAGGUCAUGGGUUCGAGCCCCUGCUCGCCCAAUAUUUUUUGGUAGCUCAAGGGGAAAAGGGUCGAGUGGGUAGAGUAGCAAAAUGGCCCACUUGUCAGCGAGUUGGUCAAGUGGCUGCUACGUCUUGAGCUUGCAUUGGUUUUCCCCGAAGAGGAAGGGAUGAUGCAGCAGAGUAGCGUAAGUAUUUCCCUCAGUUUCUGAGAACCAAGGUAUCAAUCCAGUAGGAGCCCACGCUCAAGUCCCUCGUGCCUGCACAAAGCGAUAGCUACUCACAACCAACGCGAUUAGGGGUUGUCAAGCCCUUCACGGUCACUUACGAGAGUGAGAUCUGAUAGAUAGAAUAUUUCUGGUAUUUUUCGUAUAAAGAUGCAAAGUAAAAAGUAAAAGCAAAGUAAAUAGCAAAACAAUAUAAAAGUGAUGGAGAUUGAUAUGAUGAGAAUAGACCCGGGGGCCAUAGGUUUCACUAGUGGCUUCUCUCAAGAGCAUAAGUAUUCUACGAUGGGUGAACAAAUUACUGUUGAGAAAUUGAUAGAAUUGAGCAUAAUUAUGAGAAUAUCUAGGCAUGAUCAUGUAUAUAGGCAUCACGUCCGUGACAAGUAGAUCGAAACAAUUCUGCAUCUACUACUAUUACUCCACUCAUCGACCGCUAUCCAGCAUGCAUCUAGAGUAUUAAGUUAAAAACAGAGUAACGCCUUAAGCAAGAUGACAUGAUGUAGAGAUAUAAAUUCAUGCGAUAUGAAAUAAACCCCAUCUUGUUAUCCUCGAUGGCAACGAUACAAUACGUGCAUUGCUGCCCCUUCUGUCACUGGGUAAGGACACCGCAAGAUCGAACCCAAAGCUAAGCACUUCUCCCAUGGCAAGAACUACCAAUCUAGUUGGCCAAACCAAACGGAUAAUUCGAAGAGACUUGCAAAGAUAACCAAUCAUGCAUAAAAGAAUUUAGAGAAGAUUCAAAUAUUAUUCAUAGAUAGACUUGAUCAUAAACCCACAAUUCAUCGAUCUCAACAAACACACCGCAAAAAGAAGAUUGCAUCGAAUAGAUCUCCACAAGAGAGGGGGAGAACUUUGUAUUGAGAUUCAAAGAGAGAGAAGAAGCCAUCUAGCUACUAACUAUGGACCCGAAGGUCUGAGGUAAACUACUCACACUUCAUCGGAGGGGCUAGGAUGAUGUAGAAGCCCUCCGUGAUGACGGCCCUCUUUCGGCGGAGCUCCGGAACAGGCCCCAAGAUGGGAUCUCGUGGAUACAGAAAGUUGCGGUGGUGGAAUUAGGUUUUUGGCUCAUGUUCUGAUCGUUUGGGGGUACGUGUGUAUAUAUAGGAGGAAGGAGUACGUCGGUGGAGCACCGAGGGGCCCACGAGGCAGGGGGCGCGCCCUAGGGGGGGCGCCCCCACCCUCGUGACCACCUCUUUGAUCCCUUACAGUAGGGUCCAAGUCUUCUGGAUCACGUUCGGUGAGAAAAUCACGUUUCCGAAGAUUUUAUUCCGUUUGGACUCCGUUUGAUAUUCUGUUUAUCCGAAACACUAAAAUAGGCAAAAACAGCAAUUCUGGGCUGGGCCUCCGAUUAAUAGGUUAGUCCCAAAAAUAAUAUAAAAGUGGAAAAUAAAGCCCAAUAUAGUCCAAAACAGUAGAUAAUAUAGCAUGGAGCAAUCAAAAAUUAUAAAUACGUUGGAGAUGUAUCAGGCAUCCCAAGCUUAAUUCCUGCUCGUCCUCGAGUAGGUAAAUGAUAAAAAUAGAAUUUUUGAUGCGGAGUGCUACUUGGCAUAAUUUCAAUGCAAAUCUUCUUAAUUGUGGUAUGAAUAUUCAAAUUAGAAAGAUUCAAGACAAAAGUUUAUAUUGACAUAGAAAAUAAUAAUACUUCAAGCAUACUAACAAAGCAAUUAUGUCUUCUCAAAAUAACAUGUCCAAAUAAAGUUAUCCCUACAAAAUCAUAUAGUCUGGCUAUGCUCCAUCUUCCCCACACAAAGUAUUUAAAUCAUGCACAUCCCCGAUGACAAGCCAAGCAAUUGUUUCAUACUCUAACUUUUUCAAAACUUUUUCAAUCUUCACGCAAUACAUGAGCGUGAGCCAUGGAUAUAACACUAUAGGUGGAAUAGAAUGGUGGUUGUGGAGAAGACAAAAAGGAGAAGAUAGUCUCACAUCGACUAGGCGUAUCAACGGGCUAUGGAGAUGCCCAUCAAUAGAUAUCAAUGUGAGUGAGUAGGGAUUGCCAUGCAACGGAUGCACUAGAGCUAUAAAUGUAUGAAAGCUCAACAAAAGAAACUAGUGGGUGUGCAUCCAACUUGCUUGCUCAUGAAGACCUAGGGAAAUUUGAGGUAGCCCAUCAUUGGAAUAUACCAGUCAAGUUCUAUAACGUAAAAUUCCCACUAGUAUAUGAAAGUGACAACAUAUGAGACUCUCUAUAUGAAGAACAUGGUGCUACUUUGAAGCACAAUAUAUGAGACUUGCUAUAUCAUGGUGCUACUUUGAAGCACAAGUGUGGAAAAAGGAUAGUAGCAUUGCCCCUUUUUAUUUAUUUAUAUUUUUGGCCUUCUUUUUUUUCUUUGGCCUUUUUUUGAGACAAUGCUCUAUUGAAUGAUGAUCAUCACACUUCUAUUUAUUUACAACUCAAUGAUUACAACUCGAUACUAAAACAAACUAUGACUCUAUAUGAAUGCCUCCGGCGGUGUACCGGGAUAUGCAAUGAAUCACGAGUGACAAGUAUGAAAGAAUUAUGAACGGUGGCUUUGCCACAAAUACUAUGUCAACUACAUGAUCAUGCUAAGCAAUAUGACAAUGAUGGAUGUGUCAUGAUGAACUAGAUGGUGGAAAGUUGCAUGGCAAUAUAUCUCGGAAUGGCUAUGGAAAUGCCAUAAUAGGUAGGUAUGGUGGCUGUUUUGAGGAACGUAUAUGGUAGGUGUAUGAUACCGACGAAAUUUGCACGGUAUUAGAGAGGCUAGCAAGGGUGGAAGGGUGGGAGUGCGUAUAAUCCAUGGACUCAACAUUAGUCAUAAAGAACUCAUAUACUUAUUGCAAAAAUUUAGAAGUUAUCAAAGCAAAGUAUUACGCGCAUGCUCCUAGGGGAUAGAUUGGUAGGAAAAGACGAUCGCUCGUCCCCGACCGCCACUCAUAAGGAAGACAAUCAAUAAAUAAAUCAUGCUCCGACUUCAUCACAUAACGGUUCACCAUACGUGCAUGCUACGGGGAUCACAAACUUCACCACAAGUAUUCUUUAAAUUCGCAACUACUCAACUAGCAUGACUUUAAUAUUAUCACCUCCAUAUCUCAAAACAAUUAUCAUGCUUCAAUCUUUUCUUAGUAUUCAACACACUCAAAAGAAAGUUUCACAAAUCUUGAAUACCAAGCAUAUUAUUAUUAGGCAAAUUACCAUGCUAUUAAGGGACUCUCAAAUUAAUUUAAGUGAAGCAUGAGAGAUCAAUAAUUUCUUUAAAACGAAUCCACCACCGAGCUCUAAAAGAUCUAAGUGAAGCACAUAGAGCAAAAUUAUCUAGCUCAAAAGAUAUAAGUGAAGCACAUAGAGUAUUCUAUCAAAUUUUAAUUCAUGUAUGGCUCUCUCAAAAGGUGUGUACAGCAAGGAUGAUUGUGGAAUACUAACAAACAAAGAACAAAUAAUACAAGACGCUCCAAGCAAAACACAUAUCAUGUUGGUGAAUAAAAAUAUAGCUCCAAGUAAAUUACCGAUGGAAGUGGACGAAAGAGGGGAUGCCUUCCGGAGCAUCCCCAAGCUUUGACUAUUUGGUGUCCUUGGAUUAUCUUGGGGGUGCCAUGGGAAUCCCCAAGCUUACGCUCUUUCCACUCCUUGUUCCAUGAUCCAUCAGAAGAAUUCACCCAAAACUUGAAAACUUCACAACACAAAACUCAAAAUAGAAAACUCGUGAGCUCCGUUAGCGAAAGAAAACAAAAGACCACUUCAAGGUACUGUAAUGAACUCAUUAUUUAUUUAUAUUGGUGUUAAACCUACUGUAUUCCAACUUCUCUAUGGAUUAUAAACUAUUUUACUAGCCAUAGAUUCAUCAAAAUGAGCAAACAACACACGAAAAACGGAAUCUGUCAAAAACAGAACAGUCUGUAGUAAUCUGUAACUAGCGCAAGAUCUGGAACCCUAAAAAUUCUAAAAUAAAUUGCUGGACGUGAGGAAUUUAUCUAUUAAUUAUCUGCAAAAAGAAUUAACUAAAUAUCACUCUUCAAAUAAAAAUGACAGCAGUUCUCGUGAGCGCUAAAGUUUCUGUUGUUUACAGCAAGUUCAACAAGACUUUCCCCAAGUCUUCCCAACGGUUCUACUUGGCACAAACACUAAUUAAACACAAAAAGACACAACCAAAACAGAGGCUAAAUAUUUUAUUUAUUAAAUAACAGAAAGGAAAAAUAUUGGGAUGUCUCCCAACAAGCGCUUUUCUUUAAAGCCUUAUAGCUAGCCAUUGAUAAUUUUAAUGAUGCUCACAUGAAAGACAAGAAUUGAAGCACAAAAGGAGCAUCAUAAAGCAUGUGAAAAACACAUCUAAGUCUAACAUACUUACUAUGCAUAGGCAUCUUAUAGGCAAACAAAUUAUCAAGGCAAGCAAAAACUAGCAUAUGCAAGGAAGAGGAAAGAAACAAUAGCAAUCUCAACAUAACGAGAGGUAAUUUAGUAACAUGAAAAUUUCUACAACCAUAUUUUCCUCUCUCAUAGUAAUUACAUGUAGGAUCAUAAUCAAAUUCAACAAUAUAGCUAUCACAUAAAAUAUUCUCAACAUGAUCCACAUGCAUGCAAAGUUGGCACUUUUCCGAAAUAGUGGGAUUAACAUUAACUAAAGUCAUGACCUUCCCAAACGCACUUUUAUCAAAAACUUCAUAAGAUUGAACAUUCUCUAAAUAUGUGGGAUCCAAAGUUGACAUUCUUCCAAACCCACUUUCAAUAUUAUUGCAAACAUUAUAAUCAAUCUCAUAUUCAUCAUGGGGUUUAAAUAAAUUUUCAAGAUCAAAAGAAGAAUCACCCCAAUCAUGAUCAUUGCAACAAGUAGAGGACAUAACAAAACUAGCAUCCCCAAGAUUAGGGUUUUGCAUAUUAUUAUCACAAUUGUCAUUAAUAGAAUUUAUAAUAACAUCAUUUCAAUCAUGCUUUUUAUUCAAAGAUCUAUCGUGAAUCACUUCAUAACAUACUUCAUCGCAAUUUUCAGAUUCACGAAUUUGAAGCAAAACUUCAUAAAGAUAAUCUAGUGCACAAAACUCACUAGCAAUUGGUUCAACAUAACUGGAUCUCUUAAAAAGAUUAGCAAGCGGAUGAGGAUCCAUAAAUCUUAGGUUCUCUGUUUAGUAAUAAAUAAAUGACUAUUCCAACCAUACGAGCAAACAAAAGCAAACGGGCAAAAAGAGGCAAACAGAGAGGGAGGAUAGAGAGAGAGGGCGAAUAAAACGGCAAGGGUGAAUUGGGGGGGAGAGGAAAACGAGAGGCAAAUGGCAAAUAAUGUAAUGCGAGAGAUAGGGAUUGUGAUGGGUACUUGGUAUGUUGACUUUUUGCGUAGACUCCCCGGCAACGGCGCCAGAAAUCCUUCUUGCUACGUCUUGAGCUUGCGUUGGUUUUCCCCGAAGAGGAAUGGAUGGUGCAGCAGAGUAGCGUAAGUAUUUCCCUCAGUUUUUGAGAACCAAGGUAUCAAUCCAGUAGGAGCCCACGCUCAAGUCCCUCGUACCUACAGAAAGCGAUAGCUACUCGCAACCAACGCGAUUAGGGGUUGUCAAGCCCUUCACGGUCACUUGCGAGAGUGAGAUCUGAUAGAUAGAAUAUUUUUGGUAUUUUUGGUAUAAAGAUGCAAAGUAAAAAAGUAAAAGCAAAGUAAAUAGCAAAACACUAUAAAAGUGAUGGAGAUUGAUAUGAUGAGAAUAGACCCAGGGGCCAUAGGUUUCACUAGUGGCUUCUCUCAAGAGCAUAAGUAUUCUACGGUGGGUGAACAAAUUACUAUUGAGCAAUUGAUAGAAUUGAGCAUAAUUAUGAGAAUAUCUAGGCAUGAUCAUGUAUAUAGGCAUCAUGUCUGUGACAAGUAGAUCAAAACGAUUCUGCAUCUACUACUAUUACUCCACUCAUCGACCGCUAUCCAGCAUGCAUAUAGAGUAUUAAGUUAAAAACAGAGUAACGCCUUAAGCAAGAUGACAUGAUGUAGAGAGAUAAAUUCAUGCAAUAUGAAAUAAACCCCAUCUUGUUAUCCUCGAUGGCAACGAUACAAUACGUGCCUUGCUGCCCCUUCUGUCACUGGGUAAGGACACCGCAAGAUCGAACCCAAAGCUAAGCACUUCUCCCAUGGCAAGAACUACCAAUCUAGUUGGCCAAACCAAAUGGAUAAUUCUAAGAGACUUGCAAAGAUAACCAAUCAUGCAUAAAAGAAUUUAGAGAAGAUUCAAAUAUUAUUCGUAGAUAGACUUGAUCAUAAACCCACAAUUCAUCGAUCUCAACAAACACACCGCAAAAAGAAGAUUACAUCGAAUAGACCCACAAGAGAGGGGGGGAACUUUGUAUUGAGAUUCAAAGAGAGAGAAGAAUCCAUCUAGCUACUAACUAUGGACCCGAAGGUCUGAGGUAAACUACUCACACUUCAUCGGAGGGGCUAGGAUGAUGUAGAAGCCCUCCGUGAUGACGGCCCUCUUCCGGCGGAGCUCCGAAACAGGCCCCAAGAUGGGAUCUCGUGGAUACAGAAAGUUGCGGCGGUGGAAUUAGGUUUUUGGCUCUUGUUCUGAUCGUUUGGGGGUACGUGUGUAUAUAUAGGAGGAAGGAGUACGUCGGUGGAGCACCGAGGGGCUCACGAGGCAGGGGGCGCGCCCUAGGGGGCGCCCCCCACCCUCGUGACCACCUCUUUGAUCCCUUGCAGUAGGGUCCAAGUCUCCUGGAUCACGUUCAGUGAGAAAAUCACGUUUCCGAAGAUUUUACUCCGUUUGGACUCCGUUUGAUAUUCUGUUUAUCCGAAACACUGAAAUAGGCAAAAAAAACAGCAAUUCUGGGUUGGGCCUCCGGUUAAUAGGUUAGUCCCAAAAAUAAUAUAAAAGUGGAAAAUAAAGCCCAAUAGUCCAAAACAGUAGAUAAUAUAGCAUGGAGCAAUCAAAAAUUAUAGAUACGUUGGACAUGUAUCAGUGGCCCACUUGUCAGCGAGGUCUGUGUUUGAUACUUGACUGGUUUGAUGAUUUGAAAAGAGAUGGCAUAGAGUGGAAGACCAGUAGCCUCUUCCUAGCCCAGUGGUAGAAACACAGUGAAACGAGCGCACGGUCGUGGGUUUGAGUCCCCGCUCGCGCAUAUUUUUUUGGUCACAAUGAAAUGGAGCCGCGCGUGGGAUGACACGGCUGUCUGAUGGAGCGCGCCCAAAAAUUUAGUUAAAACAGCUCUGAAAACAUCUUCAGUUCACCAAAAACAACAUCUUCAGUUCACCAAAAACAACAUCUUCAGUUCAAAAAACAUCUUCAGUCCAAAAACAUCAUCAUUUUGCAAUCUUUUACAUCACAACCAAAACUACAUGAUCACCAAAACUAAGAAAAACAACUCUAAAAACAACAUCUUCAGUUCAUCAUUUUGCAUCUUCAUUCAAAACAACAUCUUCAUUUUGCAUUGUAUCUUCCAUCACCAAAACUACAUCAUUUUGCAUUGUAUCUUCAACCAUCAUCUGCCUCUCCAUCACUACACAGUCUCAUGCAUUUUGGUACCUAGAGAGAUUUGUAGUACAAAAACUACAUCAAGAUCACAUCAACAACAAGUACCAAGGAGACAAAAUAGCAUUAGAUCACCAGGGAGACCAAAUUUACCUUCGCUACUCAUCGUCGUCGAUACAAAAACAAGGAACUCUAUGCCCACUCCUGUUUUCCUCAUCAUCACUACAAUAUUGCAGUAUAGUAUGAUCAGUCCUGUUUUCCUCAUCCUCGCUCUCAUGCCCAUCCGCUACCACCUUUCUUCUUUUCUUGAUGCCUUCAACUGUUGCAGCACCAAUGAUCACACGUUCCCGGUCCCUUCGCACUCUGCUUUGCACCGGAACUUCCAUAGAGUCAUCAUCAGCUUGCAACGAAACUUCCAUAGAGUCAUCAUCUUGGUAUGUUAGUCCACCAUCACCAGGGCCCUUUUCCACUUCAGUUUCAGUCACACUCCACAAGUGUCUGUGCUGAAAGUUUUGCACAACUCGCCAUUUUCCGUGCAAAAGAGUGUCUCGCAGAUAAAACACCAUUAUUGCUUGUGUUGUUAGAAUAAAGGGAUCACUCUUAUACCAGCACCUUGCAGUGUUGAUGCUUUUGAAGUGGCCAUCAUAUUUGACAAAAGAGUCUCUCCUCUUCUUGCUACUAAGCUCAAACCAGUCACAGCGAAAUAAGACAACCGAGCGAUGGAUGCCUCCACUAGAGUUGUACUGCAACUCUACAAUGCUUCUCAACUGACCAUAGAAGUCAAUGAUCUCACCAUCAUGUGACCCCUCAGUGACGAUUCCACUAUUAUGUGUCUUCCUUUUUUCCUCGCGGUCAACGGUGUGGUACCAGACACCGUCAGCAAUGCAUGCUGAAUACACUCUCACUCGCUUAUCCAGUAAGCAUGCCAAAGCAAAUAGAUCAUCACUGACCUUCUUCUCCUCAUGCAACUUUCCAAUCUGCACAAAUAAACCAUUUAGCAAACAAUGGUAUUUAACAAUUGGUGAAUAACACAGAAAACAUAAAAGAUGUGGCUAAAGAUCUCACAUGAUUCUUAAACCACUUAGCAAACCCCUUGGCAACCCUUAUAUCAACAUGGAUAUUGCUUUCUUCCUGAUUUAACUCUUCCUUGCAUUUCCUGCAAUGCCAACAAAACAUGUGAAUUAAAACAUUAGGUUGGUGCCAACCCAAGCAAAAAAUAUAUAUAAUGAGUGCACAAGAUAUAACGUACUCGAUAUAUGGUAAACCUCGGCGCAAUUGCUGAGCACAAACCAAACCAUCUUGUCAUACUCAUCACCAGCCUCCAAGUAUUGUGAGGCUCCAAGAAAGUUCACGCCAUGGUUGAAAACAGAGACAUCACCACUUUGCGAAUCAGACCGCUCUCUAUUUCUGCCCAGCCGGUUCCAUCUUGUUUCCACAUCACCAAAGUAUCUAGAGCAAAAAGUCAAGCACUAGUCAAUGACAUAUGCUUCAGCAAUAGAACCUUCAGGUCUUGCCGUGUUUCACACAUAACGCUUACAAGUAAGCAGCCUUCUUUCAAUUGGGUACAUCCAACCGUAUUGCACAGGGCCUCUAAGCAUUGCCUCUUUUGGUAAGUGCACCGCCAAAUGGACCAUCACGGUGAAGAAAGCUGGAGGGAAAAUCUUCUCGAGCUUGCAAAGAAUAAUUGGGAUUUCUUUUUCAAGUCUUUCCAGGACAGUUAACUUGAGUGUUUUGUAGCACAGUUCUCUAAAGAAAUUUCCCAGCUCAGCAACCGCUUCAUAUAUAUCCUUGUCCAUGAUUCCUCGGAGGCCUGCCAGUAAAAUCCUUUGGAGGAGGAUGUGACAAUCAUGGGUUUUCAGUACUGAAAGCUUGAAUCCAUCAGAAGUAACACACUUUGCUAGGUUAGCAGCAUAACCAUCUGGAAAUUUCACCGCUCUUAGGAAUUCACAGAAUGCAAGCUUUUGUUCUUUACUCAUUGUAUACCAUGCUCGUGGCAUUUCAAAUGAAUCUUCAUCUUCAUUGUGCUAUAGAUGCAAAUCUUCUCUUAUGCCCAUGUCCUCCAAAUCAAGCCUAGAACUAACUGUGUCCUUUGUCUUCCCUUCAAUGUUCAGAAACGUCCCUAGCAGAUUCUCACAUAUGUUUUUCUCAAUGUGCAUUACAUCGAGAUUAUGCCUUAAUUUCAGAUCAGCCCAGUAUGGCAGGUCCCAACAUUGACCUUCCUCACGCUUUCUUUUCUUCGCCAGCUUUCCUGGUCUCACAUCUUUCACCUUUUCAAGUUGCUCCUCCAGCUCUUCUUUAGUGAAUUCAGCUGGCUUGUCAUGGGUUUCAUUCUCACCAUUAAAAUCUUUGCUUCUUCGCCAGCGAUGGUUUCGGGGAAGAAAGCGGUGGUGCCCAAUAUAGCAGAUCUUGCUCCUUAUUCUCUUUGAGCAAGGGUCUUUGUCACAAUGGACACAAGCCUGAUAACCCGCUGUGAUCCUCCCAGAUAGAGUGUGCAGAGCCGGGAAAUCAUGGAUGGACCAUAUGAUUGCAGCACAUAGAUUGAACUUUUCUUCCGGACUCAAGGCAUCGUAUGUAGGUACACCAGUCCAGAGCUGGAGCAGUUCUUCUACGAGGGGCUCCAUAAAGACAUCAAAAUCCUUUCCUGGAGACUCUGGACCCGGGAUAAGCAAUGACAUCAUGAAGUUGGACCGAUCCAUGCAUGCCCAUGGUGGCAGGUAGUACGGCACCACAAAAACUGGCCACAUGCUAUAAGACGUGCUCAUGUUCCCAAACGGAUUAAACCCAUCUGUGGCAAUGCCAAGUUUUAUGUUCCUUGGAUCUGCAGCAAAAUCUAAAUGUAUACGGUCAAACUCUUUCCAUGCCUCUCCAUCCGCUGGAUGGCUCAGCUCAUUGUCCACAGGUUGCCGCUUCAGCUUGUGCCACUGUACCUCAUGCGAUGAUUUCUUCGAGAUGAACAUCCGCUGCAGCCUUGGUAUCAAGGGAAAGUGCCUCAGUACCUUCUUCGGUAUUGACUUCUUCCCAUCAGCAUCUUUCCACCUAGAUGCAUUGCAUUUUGGACAGUUGUCAUGCUUUGCUAAAUCCUUCCGAAACAAGACACGGUUAUUUGGGCACACAUGUAUUGACACAUAACCUAAUCCCAGCCUGCGGAUUAUGCUCAAUGCUUCAUCAUAAGAUCUGGGAACACAACUAUCAGGGAAUUGCAAGCUCAAAAGACGGAGUAUUGCAUUGAAUGCGGCAUUGCUAAUCCGGUAGAAAGACUUGAUGUGGAGUAACUUCACGGUGAAGGUAAAUCUUGAAAAUUUACCCCCUUCAUGAGUUGCGCGCUUCGCCUCCUCUAACACCUUAGCAAACAACGACUUCUGUCCAUCAGCAUGAUCUUCAGCAUCGUACAAAUCCUUCAAUAGGUCAGGAAUCCUAUCAUCUUCAUGUCCAUCCUCUUCCUCCAAAACAGCAUUAUCUCGCAAAACCUUUCCCAUGAAAUCAAUGCCAGCAUCACCACCACCCAUCAUAUGAGGGGCCUCUGUAUCAGCUUCAAAAUGUUGAGGUUGUCUGUCUAAAGGUUAUCCAUGAUAUAUCCAUCUAUCAUAUGUGUUGGACAUCCCAUUAAGAAGCAGAUGACCUUCCACUCUUCCUUGAGCCAUUCUUGGACAGUUGAGGCAUUCACAACAUGGGCAAAGAAUGUGAGCAUCGUUGGCAAAAUUUGCCCGAACAAAUGCCAUGAAAUCAUCAACUCCUUUCAUAUGAUCUUUCGAAAACUUUCUAACUCCUUUUCUAAUCCAGCUUCUGUCCAUCUACCAAAGACAACAAAUUGUUGCAACUUAGCAAAUCAAUCUAAGUGCAUCAACAUUAAUUAAUGAAAAUGGAUGGAAGUAAUGGCACCCAACUUUAUAUGCUAACUCCCUAACCACAACAUUCAGCUAUUUCCAAUUUCUCACUACUUUAGUCCAACUUGGUGGACAAAAUAAAUCAGCAUUCAAUAUUUACUCAUGGCAUGAAUUAGUCAAAUGGAUCAGGAUCCUAUUUACUCAGCAUUCAUUAUUUACUCAUGGACAAAAUAAAUCAAGAAUUUAGAACAGAGAGUAACAGCAAUUUCAGGAUCAUGUUUCAGGGAAAGAACAACAUCAAUUUCAUCAACGCAAUUUACUCUUGGACAAAAUAGAACAGAGAGCUCUGUUCUAUUGAUAGCUGACAACAUAAUUUACCACUAUGAAUUGACUAAAUUAAAAAAGAAUUCUUAACAAUUUCAUCAACAGCAAUUCUCCUAAAAAUUUCAUCAACAGAAAUUCUCUUCACAAUUUCUAGCAAAUUCAUCAAAUCAGUGUGUGUGUGUGUGUGUGCGUGGAGAUUUUUCCAAGAUUACAACAAACCUACAUCAAAUCAGUGUGUGUGUGUGUGGAGAUACUCGUAACAGAUCUACAUCAAAUCAAUGACAUCAAUAGAGAGGAGAGAGGGAGAGGAGAGGGGGAGGAGAGGAGUGCAUACGUGGGUGAGGUCUGCUUGCGGCGGCGGCGAGUCCCCCAUGCUCGGCGGCGGCGAGUCCCCCAUGCUCGGCGAGCCUCUCCUUGUGUGGGCGUCGUUCCUACGCCCGCCCCCACCACCGCAGGUCGCCCACGCCACUGCUGGUCACUUCGGCGGCCAGCCCUGCCUCCACCCCCACCCCUGCUGGUUACCUCCACUGCCGGCCCCGCCCCCGCCUCCGCCCCUGCUGGUUGCUUCCGCCGCGAGGCCGUGGGCGAGGUCACCUGCAGCGAGGCCGUGGGCAAGGCAAGCGGCCCCUACUGGUUGCUUCGGCCGCCGCCCGCCGCCCACCGGCCCCGCCCUCGUCCGAGCGACCCUGCUGGUUGCUUCCGCCGCCGCCCGCCGCCACCUGGUCGGAAGACCUAGAAAAACGCUAAGUGUUGCUCUGUUCGAUGCCACCCGCCGCCACCUGGUCGGAAGGCCCCACUUGUCACUGACACGAGAGAGCCGUGGUUUUGUAUAGUAUAUAGAAAACUACCCACACAUUAGUAACAAUCCCUCUCUAGCCCAGCGGUACUGAACGAGCGAACGAGCGCCAGGUCGUGGGUUCGAGUCCCCGCUAGCGCACAUUUUUAGCAAAUUAAACGCUCGCUCACCCACCUGUCAAAUGGGUCCCACCUGUUAGUGUUGCUAAUUUUUGCUCUGUUCGAUGCCACCUGGUCGGAAUGUCCCACUUGUCAAUGAUACGAGAGAGCCAUAGUUUUAUAUAAUGUAUAGAUUAAUUCCCAUACCUGAGCAACUGUCCCUCUCUAGCCCAGCGGUAGCAAGCGAGCGAAGCAAGCGCAAGGUCGUGGGUUUGAGUCCCGCCUCGCGCCUCUUUUUUGGGCGAAUUAAGCGCUUGGCCCCACCUGUCAAAUGGGUCAUGCAUGUCAGUGUGUGCCCCGUCUGUUGUUGAAUAUUAACAUUUAAGUAAAAAUGACACCUAGACAGUGACACAUAAGCAAGGUUGCUGAGGUGGCUGCCUAAUCAUCCUAAUUCAUUCAAACUCAAGUGUAGUGACCAUGUUAUAUUGGUCGUUAUCAGCUAGGUGUGAGGCAGUGGACAGUGCUUCCCGCUUUACGACCAUUUCCUCUAAUGACAUUAUGACCUUUCUGACCAGAAUGGUCGUUAUAGGUUAGGGCUUGGAGCCCCUCCAACAGCUUUUGACCUAUUGGUCUAAAAUGGUCAUAAAUUUAUGACCAAUUCUUCCAGGGUCACUGACAGAAGGUCACUAGUUGACAUAUUUCUUAUAGUGAUAGGGCUCCAGGGAUAACCACAUUAUUUUCACUUACAUGUUCCUGAUUCCUUCUUCGUCUCGGAGAUGGAUCGGUGGGUGGCAACACGUUCGCUGUUUGGUCGAGUCGUCCACGGCGCUGUUGCUGCCGUCCAGGAUGAGCUGCUCAGCCUGCUACUCCACGAGACUCCCUAGCAACAGCUGAAAAGAGGUUCCAUGGGAACAAGCACCCAUGGUUGUUGUCAUCGUUAGCAUGGUCCCUUAACUGCACCCUUUAGACCCUUUGCUGAUCCAGCUCCCAGAAGGUCAGUGCCAGGUAUAAUUCCCCUUCUCUUCACCUUCUCCAACCACUGUAGAUUCAAGUCCCGUUCUGAUCCUAUUUGUAAUGAUAUUACUUGGCAUAGGGGAAGGGAAGUGGUUUCUCUCUGUCGAGGACGGCAAACAAAGAUAGAGGAGGCAGAUGUGAUAUGCUUGGCAUUAUGUUGUGGGGAUAGAGGGCCAUGGAUCUGGAUGUGGAGGUCACUGGAAGUAUCGAUGCCUUUUUCCUCUUCUACUCGAUUCCUUGACAUGUUUCCUUUCACUGUUAGAUUGUGAAAGUCCAUGUGACGUUCGUGUCAAGAUGAGCGGUCGUUCCUGCUGACAUUGUGUCAACUAGAUGGUUGUAUUCUUAAAACUUAUCAAUCAAUUGGAGUCGGUUUCUAUAAUUGUUUUCCCUUCAGAAGUUUUUAACCUGCUUAAUGCUUAUUGUUCAGAAUUUUAGGUGCUCUUUUGUCAGACAUUGUGACAUUUGUUAGGAUGAUCUCCACCAUGUGGGCCCAAUGGCCCACCGGGCCCUUAGAUCCGCGCCCUGAUCGGGGGCGCUCAACCCACUAUGGGUGACGGGCCCCUGUCACCUGCACUAUAUAAAGAGGUGGGGGUCGGCGGCUCGGAGAACGAGGUUCGUCGCAACGCCAUACACCCCACCGAAUCCCCUACCGAUCUAGGGUAAGUCCAGUGCUGACGGGAAGCGCCGCCACCACUUCACCCACUACUCUCUGCCAUCACCGGCCAUCGUCACCAUGGUCGGCACCGGUGGCUCCUCGAGCCAUAAGCAGAAGGUAAGAACUACCGGAAUAUCUAGCCUAACCGAUCCCGACGAUUCUAACAAUGGUAUCAGAUGAUGUCCAAGGCUUGAUUUUGGGUAGAAACAGAGAGCGGGGACCCUCCCCUUACCAGAUCGGAUUGAAUCCGAACCCUAAACAGAGAAAAAAAGUUCUUGAAUCACUUCACAGAAAAGUGCGCCGCCGCUGAGCCGCGCCGUUCCUCUCGAUCUCGAUGCGCAUCGGCGAGCCGAGGCAUCUGGGAAGAAGAACACCACCCCUUCGGGGGCAAAGGGCACCACCACAGAGCCGCUUGAUGGCGGCGCGUUCACCCUAGGGUGCUCGCGCACGCCGGCAAAAGGGUCAACAGGGGCGCCGUCUUCAGACGCACGCCGGCACAGGGUAGCAGGGGGAGCCAUCGCGGAUCUCUCUCUCACUGGCCAGUAGGCGGUGGUGGAUGGAGAAAGAAAGAAGGGGAUGAAGAGAAAGCGUGGCGCGGUGGCCGUCGCCGCCGUCGCCGGCGGCCAGGCGCGGCGCGGCACAGUGGCCCGGCGACGGGGAUCAGAGGAAGGUUCGACCGAACCUUUCUCUCUCUCUCUCUCUCUCUCUCUGUUGCUAUAUGCAGUGGUGGAUGGAGAGGAGAAUAGGAAAGGGGAGAAGAAAGAGAACACGGUCAGGCUCGCGUGGUGGUGGACGCCGUCGCCGGCGGCUCGACCGGACCGGCGCGACGCAGCGGCCGAGGGCGGCGCGGUCGCCAGCGACCGGGACAGCAUCGGCGAGAGACAAAAGAGGAUGAGGGUUUGACCAGACCUGGUGCUGGUGGGAUGGUUUUGAUCCAGCGAAAAUGAUCCUGGGUCGUCCGAUCGCGUUCAACGGCCUGGAGCAAAACCCUAGCUGCCAAUGGGCUUUUCGGGCCGAAAGUGCAGGCGGGCAGCAGCCUCCGCGCGCGCUGGCGCUGGGCCGAGGCCACAGCCGCGGGCGGCCCAGACCGGGUCGAGGCAUCUCGCGCAGCGGUGCGUGUAGGGAAGGCCGUGGACCGUUUUUUCUUCGCUGCGGGCCGCGCGCGCUAGACUGUGUUGCUGCAUUUUUUUUAUUUUUUGGAAAACAGAAAAGUCUCUGAAAAGUAGAUAGAAAAGUAAACAGAAAAAGUUUCUGAAAUCGAAAAUAGAAAAUUUUCAGAAAAAGAAAUGUUCAUGAAUUUUAUAAAGAAAAAAAGUUCAUGAAUUUUUAUUUAGUGAAAGAAAAGUUUCUGUAAAAAGAAAAAGUUCAUGAAUUUUCUAUUCAUGUUUUCGCUGCAAAUAAAAAUAAAAGUGUUCUUUUAAAAGUGAAUGGAACUAAAGUAAAAGAUUAAAUUGUUGCUUCUCUAAUGCUUUUUCGAACCAAUCUGAUAGAAUUGAUUAGAGAGUAAAAGAGUACAAAAUUGUUUCUGAAUAGGAUAUUAUAAAAUUUCCGCUGCAAAGUGAAAGUUUUAUCCUCCAAUUGAAUUGGAACCAACGGGAGAAUUUAAUUGGAAGAAAUAUUCUUAGCAAUGUUUUUCCCCUGUGGGUGAAAUCAGAUUCAGAUAGCUUCCACUAUGACAAAAGAAAUAUAUUUGUUUUUAAAGUUAAAAUAUGGUAUUGUUAUUUUCUGACCAAUGUUGAUGAUAACUAUACUAUAAUUCUAUGAGUCUUGUGUUCAAAGCUUAAAUCUCUGAUAAAUUUUGUAUCAAAGUGAUCAAUUUUCAGAGAAUAUUUAAAGAUAAAGAAAUGCUCUUGAACUAUAGAAAUGUAUAUUUCUUGUUUCCGCUACAAUAAAGUUGAUGAUGAUGAUUAUUUCUGAGCAAAGUUGUUUAAUAGAAAUACUAUCAUCACAUUGUUUAUGAGUUAUAUGCAUUCCAUUUCCGCCCAACGGUGAUAUGGUAUUAAUGUAGAAGAAUGAGUUUUAUUCUAAUUCUACCACAACGAUGAUUUAGAGUAUAAAAAGGAAGUUUUGCAAAAGUUUAAUGUGCAUGUUUUUUUAACCAGACCAAUGUAGGGUUAUUUUUAUGCUCAUUAUUGUUGAUUAUUGACUAAGUUUUCUCAGACUAAAAGUUCUCCAUGCUUUCAUUCAUGAAAGUGAAUGGUUGGGUACUUGUGAACCGAAAGAUGACCAAGAAAGGUCAUAACGUGAGAUAGUAUGUUCUCUCUAAAGAAUGGUUUCAAAAGAAAAGAGAUAGAUCAUUGAGAGUCUUGGUUGACGAAUGUCUUUAAUGUACUCUCUAUGAUUUGAGAUAAAACAAGCAACAUGCAUGUUUAAUUCGACCAACGUCAGAUCAAGCAUGUGUGUCAAAGAGCAUUCAGAUUUAUUUAUAAAUUUGAUGAUUGAAUAUGGAGUCAAAUGAGCCAAUUCUGGCUUUUAUGUUCCUUACAGGGAAUUACCCGCAUGGCGGGAAAAGAUGAUUAUGAUAAAACCCGCAUGGCAGGAAAAGUCUGGGAAAAUCCCUGUGUAACCCGUAUGGCGGCAGCAAUUUUCUCAGAGUUAUCAUGUAUGAUAGGAGAAAGACAUGAUGACUCAUGUGCUUUUAAUGUGUCCCACUCUGGGAGAAAAGUAUGGAGUAGCUAUUAUGCUUUCCUAGUAUCAACCAUACAUCUUAUGUGUAACGGUCAUUAAGCACUCAAUAAAUCCGAAGAGAAUAAAAGUUACAGAUGGAACUAAAGAUAAGAAUGAUAUGCAAGUGUGACUUGCAAAAGUACUAAUGAUAAAGAACUCUGUUGAGUUUCUGAAAUGGAAUGAGGAAAAGGUACUCCCAUACCAGUUAACAGAUAACUUCAUUACGUAUGAAGUAAUCGGAUAAAUGAAGUAGAUAAUCAAAGUUUCCUCAAUUCACAAGAGUUAUGAAUGGUUUUUUGAAAUUGUGACAGAAAAGUUCUUGCCACAUUUCGAGGGGGGAAAGAAAUAGUUGUAUUUUUUGGAUCUUUUACAGUUCCGAAAGCAGAGUAAGGAAUACUAAGAUGGUGCUUAAAGUGCCAUAAAGAAGAAAGUUUUAACAGAAUAAACCCAAAUUAAAAGUUUAAAGAUACUCCAUUUUUUGUGAAGAUGGAGUAAUCUGGGGGAGCAUGUUGUAUGACCUAUACAACACAUGUUGUUAGCUCUAUACAGGAUGAAUGAGUAAACAUGGAUCUUGUGAUACAGGUCCCUGUAAAACCUAUUGCCUCUUGGAAAUGAAAGACUAUAGAAUUAGUUUGCCUCUUGCAUUGACAGAGCAACAACAUCCCCAUAUGAAAGAAGUGCCAAUACCUGAGACACUGAUGGUCUCAAGGAAUGAGAAAAUCAGAUACUUCUGAUUACUAUAAAGUUUAUGUUAGUGAAAUUCAAAUGGAGGUUGAUCCCACCUCAUUUAAAGGCUCAUUCGAGCUUUGAGAAGUGUCUUCUUAUCUAAAUGAUAAGAGACUAUGUGAGAUGAAUGAAAUUGGUGAAUCCCGACGAUGUUUGGGACUGAUGAGUAAUUUCCAAUGGAGCCAAAACAGUAGGCUCUAAAGAGUCUACAAGGACAAUGUGACUCCAAAGGAAAUAUGUAAAGGUGUAAAACACGACUUAAAUCAGAAGGUUUUUGCGUGUUUUGCACUGAAUAGAUUACAAUGAGUGUUGGUAGCACAUCAUGAUCUGAGUUACAUCAGAUGAAAGAUAUUAUGAUCUGAGUUACAUCAGAUGAAAGUAAAACACAGGGGAUACUGCCUGAAGAAGUCUUUUAUGGACUAAAGCAAUCAAAUGUUGUUUUGGGUUAAAGAAAAUGAGAGGACAAUUGUAUUCGUGCAAAGUUAUAGAAUGGGAAAUUCAUUUCCUAAUCAUGUGCAUCACUACAAGAAACAUGUUAAUACGUGACGGAUUUCGGGUGACAGUUUCAAAAACCGUCAUGCACAGACUAGUACGGCCCGCAAGCCCACCUAAGCCCGCCUAAAAAGCCCUAAACCAGUGCCCGUAUAAAAGCUAACGCGGAGACACUCCCUUCCCCACUCUUUCUCCUCCUCCACCGCCACUCCCAUUGGCUUGGCCCUCUCUAGUUCCCGACUUCCUGCCCUGCCCGCGCCGCGUCACCGUAUCCUCCUUCUCCGCUGCAUGUGGAUGACAUCCUACUUGCUAGUGGUGAUGUCAACCUACUGCAGGAGGAGAAAAGAAGUUCUUGUCCUUAAAGUUCAAAAGAGUGUUCUCGGUAGAGUGUCUCUCGUUAUAAGUAUCGAGAUUCACGAAGAAAAGAAUAAAAGGGGGUAUUAGGGAUGUCGAAUGGACAUGCUAAGAAAUGUCUCUAAAGUGUGCAUGUGAGAAAACCUACGCAUGUUCUUAUAGUCAAGGGUAAUGGAAGUGGAAACUAUGGUGUUCCAAAAGUUGAUUUUAAAAGAUUGAAACGGAUAUGGCGCCAUAUGCUUCAGCUGUUGGAAGCUCAAUAUAUUACCCUGACACGGUCCACGUAUCCGGUUUAUUUUGGCAAUUUCCAGUCCAUAUAUAGAUCACUGGAAUGGAGUCAAAGAUAUCGGCCUCAUGCUGAAAGAAAUAAGUGCUCUCAAAAGAUUGUGAGUACAAAGACAGGACUUGUGAAAUGUAUAGCGAAAUCCACAAUUGUCGCUAACUUUUGCACUUGGAGUUUUGGUGUGGAAAAGCUCCAAUGAAUGAAACAAUUAUCAUCAAUGUGAUGCAAAGAUAUGUUAUAGCUUGAUAUGAGGCUGAGGGACAGGCAAAAUGGUUAAGGAGACCUAUACCCGGAGUUGAUAAUGGUUGACAACAACGAUAAUCAUUUUAAGUUUUUCGCUCCUAUGACAACGAGUCAAGUGUUGAUGUCAAACACAUUGACACAGAGUUAUGCGUUGUAAAGGAGAAAGUCCGGAAUUAUGUAGAAAUGCUUGAAGCAUAAAAGCAAUAGACAAGUGUUUGCAGAUCUGCUUAUUAAAGGCUUAUCGCCCAGUGUGUUCGGAGAACACACAGUCGACAUGGGUUUUAUGGUAUAGUCUAAGAUUUUUGGAUAAUAAAAGGGCCCAAGGUUAAAGAAUUUGUUUCAAUACAGAGAGGUACGUUGUGGAUGUCUGAUUCUAUCGGCAAUUGAGCUGUGAUGAUGAAACAUGUUCUAUGUAUUGAUAUGUUAUGAAAUGAGUAAAGUAAAAGUAUAAGGUCAAAAGUAAAAGUUGAGAUCAAGGGGGAGAAUGUUAGGAUAAUCUCCACCGUGUGGGCCCAAUGGCCCACCGGGCCCUUAGAUCCGCGCCCUGAUCGGGGGCGCUCAACCCACUAUGGGUGACGGGCCCCUGUCACCUGCACUAUAUAAAGAGGUGGGGGUCAGUGGCUCAGAGAACGAGGUUCGUCGCAACGCCGUACACCCCACCGAAUCCCCUACCGAUCUAGGGUAAGUGCAGUGCUGACGGGAAGCGCCGCCACCACUUCGCCCACUACUCUCUGCCAUCACCGGCCAUCGUCACCAUGGUCGGCACCGGUGGCUCCUCGAGCCAUAAGCAGAAGGUAAGAACUACCGGAAUAUGUAGCCUAACCGAUCCCGACGGUUCUAACAACAUUUACUUACAAUUUCUGAAGGCUUAUGAUCGUUACACAUUUGAUUUCGUUUUGCUACGUCCUGUUACUUUGUUAAUUAGCAAUAUAUAGGUAGUUCCAUUUUUUGCGCGUUGUAUGGUGUAUUCGUGAAUGAUAAUGUACUCGCCUCUGACACAGUGCUGAGCUUUGGUUCACCAUGGAGUGCGCUGGCGAGCAGGCAGCUCCCCUCUGCAACGUUUCGUCAUCAGGGAGGACGUUGUCUAGCAUCGUCAUCCUCGAGGUACGUCCUGGCGAUGUCGACUCGGCUCUCUCCUGCACCUUCUCCUUCCCUGUUUCUCUUACCGCUGCUGUGCUCUUGACACUAUUGUUCCCAACUUAAGCUUCUGCCACUUGGUUCUCAGCAGGAGAGGCACAACCUCCGCCACACCAAAGAGAAGGACGAUGGCUUCCAUGAAGAGAUUUGUCGAAGUGACUACUGGUGACCUACAGGCUACAGGUCUCAAUCUUGAUUUCCUUGUAGACUAAAAGCUGACAUGCCAUGUCUUUGUGAGAUGCCAAUGCGAUGAUAAUUUGAUGCCUGUAGCAGUUUUUUUAUUUUCAUUGAAAUGAGUUUAUAAAUUCGGUAGUACCAAUUUUCCUUGAUUCUGUAGUACCAAUUUUCCUUGAUUCUGUAGUACCAAUUUUCCUAGAUAGAGUAUUUACUGUAUUGUUUCAGAAACCCGUCCAGGCCAAAGCAUCUGAUCAUUUUUUUAUCAAUUCUUUGAUUUUUAGCAUUUCAUUAUAUAUAUAUUUCAGCUUAUAGGUUCCCCCUUCUCCCUCUUUUUGCAUGAGUCUGUUGUAUCCAUUAUAAUGUCCUGUUCUAAUUUAUUCACAAUAUAUUGAAAAUGCUAAUCUGAAGGCACAACCUUAGUUAAGCUUGAACUUGUUUGCUGAGUAUAUUGUAAAUCUUUGUCACACGUUCUGGAAAUGAAUGGUUCCAUGCAGCUUCUGGGCGCUCUCGGGUUUGGGGACAUCUAUGGUGAAAUUAGAUGGGUAUGAAGCUACUGGCAAAUGACAAGUCAUGCGUGCUGCUGCAGUUCAUCGCAGCCUGGCACUAACUCAUAAAGGUCGUCGAGUCGGAAGACAGGAUGAUGCCCAUCGACAACAAGUCCAUUAAGCUCCGUAUCUCGAAAUGGUAUUUUCUCUUGGAGCAAUGGGGGAACUUCAACCAUUCUUGGCGAAGGAAAAUUGAAGACUCUGGUAGAUGUAUUAGUUAGUGUGGACUUUUAUAAUCCUUAAAACUUGUGUGGACUGCUAUCUAAGUGUCGCUAGCCUUCUGUAUAAACUAGAUGAUGCCCCGCACGUUGUUGCGGGAAUGUUUGCAAUAUUUCAAUGAGAUUUUGAUUAUACGGAACAUGAAUUCUUGAAACAAUAGUUUUUGAAAGUAUAUAAGAAUUAAAUGUAAAUAGCAUAAUAAAAUGGAAAUUUACAUGCAUGCAUGUUGUAGUGGAUUUUUAAUAUGCAUAGUUGCAUGUUGAGGUGGGCCUUUUCUUAUGCAUGUUGAAUGAUGAGGUGGUAUGCUUGCAUGUUGAGAGAAAUAUCUUAGUGGGGGCUAGCUAUUUAGAUAUAGAAGAUUACUACCAGCUGCAUAUGGAAUGAUGUGGCGCUUGAGUCCUUUAUUGUACACAAAAAUAAAUAGCGUAAUUUAUUUGAGUCCUUUAUCUAACCCAUGGUUUCUGAAACGUGUGAUCCAACACCAUGGAUCGUAUAUGGAUAUACACAUUCGUCUUAAUGUCGAAGUUUGUGAAAUGCCAGUUGUAUUAGUUGCGUGGAACUAUUCUCUUAUGAGAUAAAUACCUUUUGACUCAAUUUGCAGAUCAACUACAAAAAUAGUUCAGGAAAUCCACUAUCUUGGUUUAAUGCCUUUUAAUGAAUUAAGGUUAUCAUGACUGUACAUGACAUGUAGACUUACCAAGAAGCUACUUAUUUUAGUCUAUUUUAUAAUCUGGUCGAGAACAAGGUGAGGUGUUGGCGAUGCUUUGUUUUUAGAAACAAUACCAAUUAUCACAGUGCCCCUCCUCAUCAGCAGCGGCCGAGGACAGUGACCGCCAGAUCACAGGGGUGGCGGGCCCUGACCGGCCCAGGGGCGUGCCUAGGAAGAGGGAUGCCAGGGCGCCGAGCCAGGUCCAUGGUGACCGCGUCAAGACCGUUCCGCCGAGGGGGAGGCUCCCUAGGGCGGCCAAGGAGAAAGAGAGCAAGUUGGCCAAGGAGCUCAGGGUGAGAUAGCCAUACAUAGUGCUUUCAUCACUGUGUUGCCUUUUUGAUCCGACAAUGCUUGUGAUUCCACUUGAUUUUGCAGAGGGAGCUNNNNNNNNNNNNNNNNNNNNNNNNNNNNNNNNNNNNNNNNNNNNNNNNNNNNNNNNNNNNNNNNNNNNNNNNNNNNNNNNNNNNNNNNNNNNNNNNNNNNNNNNNNNNNNNNNNNNNNNNNNNNNNNNNNNNNNNNNNNNNNNNNNNNNNNNNNNNNNNNNNNNNNNNNNNNNNNNNNNNNNNNNNNNNNNNNNNUUUUUUUAUGUGUAUAUCUUUAGGCUGAAAAAUGAAUUAUAUUUCACUAAGUCCUGAGACACGGAUCUUCCCUUUGCCAAGAAUUGCUCAUGAUGGUGGUCAUUUCUGUUUUUUAUAAUUCAUAGUUGUGUAGUGCUACUGUAUACACACUCCCCAAACUUGUUUAAAGGAAAUAUGCAUGAAUUUCUUGAUGUCAGUUCACUAAACUCACCUUCCUGAUAGUUCCUUUUUUGGUCAUUGCAGAUAUCUAUUGUUUUAAAAAAUGUAUGUUAGAUUUAGAUGUCAUAUGAAUCAUUUAAUGAAUCUUUAAUAAGUUGAGAUAUCUUCUCGAAGAAUUAUCAUUUUUUUUUCUUCUCUUCCUGGGCCAGCGUUACACAACUUCUCUUGGAGCAAUGGGGGAACUUCAACCAUUCUUGGCGAAGGAAAAUUGAAGACUCUGGUAGAUGUAUUAGUUAGUGUGGACUUUUAUAAUCCUUAAAACUUGUGUGGACUGCUAUCUAAGUGUCGCUAGCCUUCUGUAUAAACUAGAUGAUGCCCCGCACGUUGUUGCGGGAAUGUUUGCAAUAUUUCAAUGAGAUUUUGAUUAUACGGAACAUGAAUUCUUGAAACAAUAGUUUUUGAAAGUAUAUAAGAAUUAAAUGUAAAUAGCAUAAUAAAAUGGAAAUUUACAUGCAUGCAUGUUGUAGUGGAUUUUUAAUAUGCAUAGUUGCAUGUUGAGGUGGGCCUUUUCUUAUGCAUGUUGAAUGAUGAGGUGGNNNNNNNNNNNNNNNNNNNNNNNNNNNNNNNNNNNNNNNNNNNNNNNNNNNNNNNNNNNNNNNNNNNNNNNNNNNNNNNNNNNNNNNNNNNNNNNNNNNNNNNNNNNNNNNNNNNNNNNNNNNNNNNNNNNNNNNNNNNNNNNNNNNNNNNNNNNNNNNNNNNNNNNNNNNNNNNNNNNNNNNNNNNNNNNNNNNNNNNNNNNNNNNNNNNNNNNNNNNNNNNNNNNNNNNNNNNNNNNNNNNNNNNNNNNNNNNNNNNNNNNNNNNNNNNNNNNNNNNNNNNNNNNNNNNNNNNNNNNNNNNNNNNNNNNNNNNNNNNNNNNNNNNNNNNNNNNNNNNNNNNNNNNNNNNNNNNNNNNNNNGAGCGUUCCUUGAACCAGAUGAAUGACUAGGUGCGCAUCUUACUGGCCACUUAUUGUUAUUGGUCCAUAUACUCCCUGCCCCUGCGCUCUAGCUUCUACUCGCAAGUAAGCUCGUCUUCCUCCUCUACCCCCUCCCCCUCCUCUUCUGUGAGGAUCUUUGGUUGGAUUUGGGUAACCAGACCGCAGGAGAUGAAUCCUAUUUGGAGAUGAAGUGUGUAUGCUAGCUUGAUUUAGUUUAUAUAUGAACCGCAUAUGUUGGCUUGAUGGUGAUAAAUAGUAAUUUAACUGUUGAUUUUAGAUUGAGAGUAACCAGUAGAGGAUUAUUCCAUUGUGCUUAAUGUUAAUUGCCAGCUCUAUAUAUCAGAACUUGAAUUGUUGUUAAUAAUCAUAGAUCAUGAGUUCUCUACAUUCAUCUUUUGAUGGAUUGUAAAUGAAAUAAAACACAUGUGUGUUUUAGUUUCUUUUCUUCUCCCCUGGGUUUCCUAUGAAACUGGAGGGCUUCAUGAAUGUUGUGUACAUGGUCUACCAAUUUUUUUUUCUAAAUAACAUAUUGAGCUCGAUUGCUAAUUUUUGUGACCUUUGAUAGACGGAUCCAAUCAUUUUUUUNNNNNNNNNNUUCUCUUGGAGCAAUGGGGGAACUUCAACCAUUCUUGGCGAAGGAAAAUUGAAGACUCUGGUAGAUGUAUUAGUUAGUGUGGACUUUUAUAAUCCUUAAAACUUGUGUGGACUGCUAUCUAAGUGUCGCUAGCCUUCUGUAUAAACUAGAUGAUGCCCCGCACGUUGUUGCGGGAAUGUUUGCAAUAUUUCAAUGAGAUUUUGAUUAUACGGAACAUGAAUUCUUGAAACAAUAGUUUUUGAAAGUAUAUAAGAAUUAAAUGUAAAUAGCAUAAUAAAAUGGAAAUUUACAUGCAUGCAUGUUGUAGUGGAUUUUUAAUAUGCAUAGUUGCAUGUUGAGGUGGGCCUUUUCUUAUGCAUGUUGAAUGAUGAGGUGGUAUGCUUGCAUGUUGAGAGAAAUAUCUUAGUGGGGGCUAGCUAUUUAGAUAUAGAAGAUUACUACCAGCUGCAUAUGGAAUGAUGUGGCGCUUGAGUCCUUUAUUGUACACAAAAAUAAAUAGCGUAAUUUAUUUGAGUCCUUUAUCUAACCCAUGGUUUCUGAAACGUGUGAUCCAACACCAUGGAUCGUAUAUGGAUAUACACAUUCGUCUUAAUGUCGAAGUUUGUGAAAUGCCAGUUGUAUUAGUUGCGUGGAACUAUUCUCUUAUGAGAUAAAUACCUUUUGACUCAAUUUGCAGAUCAACUACAAAAAUAGUUCAGGAAAUCCACUAUCUUGGUUUAAUGCCUUUUAAUGAAUUAAGGUUAUCAUGACUGUACAUGACAUGUAGACUUACCAAGAAGCUACUUAUUUUAGUCUAUUUUAUAAUCUGGUCGAGAACAAGGUGAGGUGUUGGCGAUGCUUUGUUUUUAGAAACAAUACCAAUUAUCACAGUGCCCCUCCUCAUCAGCAGCGGCCGAGGACAGUGACCGCCAGAUCACAGGGGUGGCGGGCCCUGACCGGCCCAGGGGCGUGCCUAGGAAGAGGGAUGCCAGGGCGCCGAGCCAGGUCCAUGGUGACCGCGUCAAGACCGUUCCGCCGAGGGGGAGGCUCCCUAGGGCGGCCAAGGAGAAAGAGAGCAAGUUGGCCAAGGAGCUCAGGGUGAGAUAGCCAUACAUAGUGCUUUCAUCACUGUGUUGCCUUUUUGAUCCGACAAUGCUUGUGAUUCCACUUGAUUUUGCAGAGGGAGCUNNNNNNNNNNNNNNNNNNNNNNNNNNNNNNNNNNNNNNNNNNNNNNNNNNNNNNNNNNNNNNNNNNNNNNNNNNNNNNNNNNNNNNNNNNNNNNNNNNNNNNNNNNNNNNNNNNNNNNNNNNNNNNNNNNNNNNNNNNNNNNNNNNNNNNNNNNNNNNNNNNNNNNNNNNNNNNNNNNNNNNNNNNNNNUUUUUUUAUGUGUAUAUCUUUAGGCUGAAAAAUGAAUUAUAUUUCACUAAGUCCUGAGACACGGAUCUUCCCUUUGCCAAGAAUUGCUCAUGAUGGUGGUCAUUUCUGUUUUUUAUAAUUCAUAGUUGUGUAGUGCUACUGUAUACACACUCCCCAAACUUGUUUAAAGGAAAUAUGCAUGAAUUUCUUGAUGUCAGUUCACUAAACUCACCUUCCUGAUAGUUCCUUUUUUGGUCAUUGCAGAUAUCUAUUGUUUUAAAAAAUGUAUGUUAGAUUUAGAUGUCAUAUGAAUCAUUUAAUGAAUCUUUAAUAAGUUGAGAUAUCUUCUCGAAGAAUUAUCAUUUUUUUUUCUUCUCUUCCUGGGCCAGCGUUACACAACUUCUCUUGGAGCAAUGGGGGAACUUCAACCAUUCUUGGCGAAGGAAAAUUGAAGACUCUGGUAGAUGUAUUAGUUAGUGUGGACUUUUAUAAUCCUUAAAACUUGUGUGGACUGCUAUCUAAGUGUCGCUAGCCUUCUGUAUAAACUAGAUGAUGCCCCGCACGUUGUUGCGGGAAUGUUUGCAAUAUUUCAAUGAGAUUUUGAUUAUACGGAACAUGAAUUCUUGAAACAAUAGUUUUUGAAAGUAUAUAAGAAUUAAAUGUAAAUAGCAUAAUAAAAUGGAAAUUUACAUGCAUGCAUGUUGUAGUGGAUUUUUAAUAUGCAUAGUUGCAUGUUGAGGUGGGCCUUUUCUUAUGCAUGUUGAAUGAUGAGGUGGCAUGCUUGCAUGUUGAGAGAAAUAUCUUAGUGGGGGCUAGCUAUUUAGAUAUAGAAGAUAUUUCACUUUCAGUAUUUUGUACUAUCUCGCUGCUCUAUGCGCUACUGGUCUCUUUCGAUAUAAAUGACAUGCUUUAAUUGUUAUUAACGGCUUUUGAUCUGCGGAAUGCAUAACUUUCUAUAUAAAUGACUUGUUGUAAUCCUGAUCUAUUAAAUGUUGCUUUUGGUCUAUUCUUUUAUGUUGUGCUUGAUGCGCGUCUUUUGUGGUCUUACAAACAUUCUGAAUUUUAUGUUGCCUUAUAAUCUCAUGCCUUCUAUCACAAAUGAAUAUUUCUUUUUCACUUUAUUUUUUUAUCAUGUUUGAAUUCAUACGCUAAAUAUACACUCCUACUAACUUGGCACGACAUGCUUAACCAAAACGUUGGGACCGGCACCCUCGCGCCAUGGCGCGAUCCCAAUCUAGUAGGCACCUGAUUGAAGUCCUCAGUGCGCCUCUUCCUCUUCAACCACAAUUCUUCCACAUUUGUUUCUCACACUCAAAAACUCUUCCAUGCACAAGUCAUCUUCAACCCUAGGGGUGGCCGGGAAUGCAAGGAGGCGCUGUCGGUGGGAACCAGUAUGGUUCUUCUCAUCUAUGCCUCAUGGUCCAAACAGAGACAAUCCUAAAGGAGAUAAUCACACCAAAAUGAAGAUUCGACUUUGACUAAAUUCUCCAUGGCCCAAUUUUUUUAAUUAAAUCAACCCGUAGUGUGUUAACAUAGCAACGCAUUCUUAAUUUCUUGCCGAUAAUGGACAUAUUUAUCCAGUCUCCCUAAAAGCAAAGCUGGAUAUAAAUAUGGGUAUUGGUCAAAACAUAUAUGGUUAUUUGAGAAACGAAAACUAUGAGAUAAUAACUGAAUAGUUGUAGCUGAUUCCAGUCCUCCUAAUUAUGUGAAUUGUUUUGAGGUAAAAACUGGAUCCGACUCACCUCAGUGAAUAAUUUUGACAUAAACAAUAGCUGAAUAUUUAAAGCGACGGCGAUAUAGAAAUAAUUCACUUAUCAACAAAAAAUAAAAAAGGAGAUGUAAACAAAUCUGGUAAAAGUUUUGAUUUCCCAGGCAUGGCUGCUUUGGUCUCAUUACUUCAGGCUUCAUAUGUACAUGCAAAAACUAUGAUAUGACCAUACAAUUUGAUGCCUUUGGUUCACAUAUUUGCUAAAACCAUGAAUUUACCAUACACAGAACACAUGCACAAAACAUGAAGACCUGAACUGACGCCGUUGAGGAAGGGCUGCGGCGUGUGAGUCCCCGGUGCAUGGAGGAACAGCAGUGGCAGCUUGUGUGCCCGGGCUGCAGAAUGGAAUGAGGCGUUUCAUAUGGACAACAAUUGCUGACACCAUAUCAAGUAUUCCCACCGAAUUUCCUCAACAAAAUGCACUACAUGCUAGUCCUAGAUGGUACAUUCACAUAAACAAAGCCAAGAUAGUUCUACCCAGCAGCAAAUUACAUCGGCAAACGGUUGCGGGAGCAUGCUUAUCA